rnacentral:lncRNA from 1 species
GAGAGGGCAGGAAUUUGGUUCAGUUUUACUGUCCUAAAUGGCUUCUUUGGCCUCCUUUUGCAUUGUUGUGGACCUACACUUGUUUUCUGACUGCUGAGCUUCUUUUGCCAUGGUUUCUUGUGCAAUGAUCAUUGAGACACGUUUCUUAGAUCCCUUUUGGCUUGAUUCAACAUGUUUCCGAGACUAGUCAAUGGAGAGUAACUUAUACUAGUAACAUACACGUUAUCCUAGACUAUGUUACUAUCUCCAUAGUGGGUAGGAACAUAUGUGUAGUGUCACGCACAGCUUCAUUUCUUAGGUUAUAGACUCAUUUUGUCUUGGUAUGUGUGAUGUUACUCAUAGAAUGAGUAACUAGCUAAGUUACUCAAUGUACCCCUCUCAUUAACUCAUUGUCACAUAGGCAAAUUUGCUGACUUGGACUCUAUGUUACUUUUGAAGUUACCCCACUGUGGUCAGUCUGAAGACUCCAUGCUACAAUACGAGACGUGUAUUUUGGAUUUUCACUAUUUUUUGUUUUAGGCCCCAAUCUAAUGUCCCCCACAACCAUGAAAUCCUCAACUCUCGACUUUGGCUUCCAGUUUGGGCAAUGAUCAUUGAGACAUGCUUCUUAUAUCCCUUUUGGCUUGAUUCAACAUGUUUUUGAAGACUUCAUGCUACGACAACACUAUGAGGACGUGUAUUUUGGAUUUUCACUAUUUUUGUUUAGGCCCCAGUCUAAUGUCCUCCACAAUCAUGAAAUCCUCAACUCUCAACCUUAGUGUUAUACUUCAAAUGCAAUGCUACUGUAUAAGCUUUUGCAUUUGAGGUGUGUGUUCCUACUGGUCUAGAUUUCUUUGCUUUGUAAGUCCGUUGAAUAUAUUCGCUCGUUGGUCUAUGCAAUAUAUACAAGUUGUAUCCAUAAUAACAACAAUAACAUUUUGUCUUCCGUUUUCAUGAUGUAGUAGUGAUAAGCAUGCAAUUUAUAUGUUUACAGCUACAGGGAAAGUAACUACAAAAGUUGACGUUUAUGCAUAUGGUGUCAUACUAAUGGAGAUGAUUACUGGAAGGAAAGUACUUGACGACUCAUUACCUGAUGACGAAACACAUCUUGUAACAAUCUUCCGAAGAAAUAUGCUUGACAAAGAAAAGUUCAGAAAGUUUGUGGACCCUACACUAGAACUCGGUGCUGAAGCUUGGAAGAGCCUGCUGGAGGUAGCUGAUCUUGCCCGGCAUUGCACAGCACGAGAACAAAACCAGAGGCCCGACAUGUGUCACUGUGUGAACCGACUUUCCAGUUUGCUCGAUGAGUGGAAGCCUACAGAAGUUGACGAUGAUGACGAGUGCGAGACAAGUGAGAUGCAUCUCAACCAGCAACUUGAGAAAUGGAGGUGUGAUGAUUUUACCAUAUCAGAUUCAGAUACAUUCAGCACAUUCAAUAUGUAAGGAAGUAAAACUGAAAGUUUGCAACCUACCCUAUGAUGUCAUGUAUAAACGGGGAAACACAGACUACCGCAUCAAACGGGCUAUCAUUAGCUCUUGCAAUCGCCGACUGCAGCGGAGGUCGACAUUCCAGAUGCUCUAAUUAGCCCAUUGAGCAGCAACUGAGAACCCGGUAGCUUGAAUAUCAGCGUGUCACCCUGCCUGCUUUGGUGAGCGCUAAAGCCAAGCAUAGCUCUGAAGUUUGGUACUUUUACGAGUUGUUGAUGUGUCUAUAGCUUGUUCACUCUAUAUGGCGCGUAGUGUAGUAACAUUGAACAGCCGAUCCAUUUGUUCUUGGAUUGUCUAGAGAAGGAAAAGGGAAGAAAGAUGAAGCAAGCUUGCAUAAGUUUACGGCAGAGGCGUUUUCUAGGAUGUAGAACAGUUGUUUUGUGAACUACCAAGCACGAGGAAUCCUUUUUGCGUGCGAAAAUGCAAAAUGGAGGCCGAACAACAUAUAGGCCUUAAUUUUUAAAAAUACUCUUUUCACAGAUUUUGUAAAAAUUGCACAUACCUAGAGGCAAAAUGUACAUGUGUAUUAGUCUUCAAGAUGAAAUACAUUAAAAUGAGAGCUACACAAAGAAAAAGCCAAUUAUGUGCCUUUUUAGCACAUGUAAGUUCAUUAUUAUUUUUUGUGCAGCUUAGAAUUCAAGGUAUUUUUUAUCAUGAAAUUUUAUACACAUAACAUUACAUCCUUUUAUACAUGUGUAUUUUUCUCGGAGUUUUUUGAAACCGAAAAGUUCAAAUUUUGAAUUUUUUUCUAAAUUAAGACCUUCAUGGAGCUUGGCCUCCAAAACGCACUACUCUUGCAUGGCAUUUGUAAUUGUGUGUACGCGGCUGAAAUUUGUGUGCUUCCGUCAUCCCGUGCAGUUUUUUUGCACCCUGCCCUCGCUGCCUUGGGUUUGAUGAGUCGGUGGCUAUCAUAUUGUUUGUUAGAGCACCCCCCCCCNNNNNNNNNNNNNNNNNNNNNNNNNNNNNNNNNNNNNNNNNNNNNNNNNNNNNNNNNNNNNNNNNNNNNNNNNNNNNNNNNNNNNNNNNNNNNNNNNNNNNNNNNNNNNNNNNNNNNNNNNNNNNNNNNNNNNNNNNNNNNNNNNNNNNNNNNNNNNNNNNNNNNNNNNNNNNNNNNNNNNNNNNNNNNNNNNNNNNNNNNNNNNNNNNNNNNNNNNNNNNNNNNNNNNNNNNNNNNNNNNNNNNNNNNNNNNNNNNNNNNNNNNNNNNNNNNNNNNNNNNNNNNNNNNNNCCCCCCAACAGCCCUCUCGGGGCGCCUUUUUUAGCGGCGGCGGUGCAAAAUUGGUCCACUCGUGUUCUCAACUCUUCGUUUAGCGUCGGUUUGAGUCAAAAUAACAGCCGGCGAAACCGAGCCGAACCCACCCCCCUAGAGGGCGCCUGGGAGCGCCGGUAGAAGCGAAAAGCCAGGCGGGCCCGCUCUGUCAGCGGCGGCCGAGCCAUUCCCGUCGUUUUCUCCCCCUUCCUCCUCCCUCUCCCUUCAUUUCCCCGCCCCCUCCCGCCAUUCUUCUCCCCUCCUGCCAUUCGACAGCCAUGCCGCCAAAGAAGUACACCUUCCCUCGCCCCGCCAACGUUGUCGAUUCCAGCCAGCCGAAGCAGAGGAAGUCGAGGAAGCCGAUGCCUAGGCCGACGGGCGUUUCGGACGCCGAAUGGGGGACGUAUGUCCAGCGCCGGGAGGCGGUCACAACAGACUGGCGGAGGAGGCUCGAUGCCAAGAAGACCAGGGACGCGACUGAGGCAGCGGCGGCCGUGGUUGAUGAGGAAGAGGUGUCCCGUGCGGGGAUGAUGAAUAUGCGUGGCCGCAACCCACAGGCCGCAUGUAGGGGUCGCCAGGGUGUUCCCUCGGCCACCAUCUCGCCGACGAUGCCGCCCUGGGGGUACGUGCCCUCGCCUGGCUACUACGAUGGCGACGCGCAUGGCGGCUUUAAUCCCAACACCACCUUCCCGUAUGGCACGCCCCAACGUUCCUCACCCACCGGUUUCGACCACGACCCGCGCACUCCCUCACCCGCAUUCAGCGUCGGCCUCAACACCUAGUAUAGCUACUCACCGUCGGCGUACUCGUGAGCAGCCUCACCUGCGCCGUCCAUGCGCCGUGGUGUCCUUCCAUUCGUGCCCACUUCGUCGCUGCAGUUUAACUACGCCGAUGCCGGCAUGGACGAGAUCAUCACGAGUGGCUCCGUCGCCGCCGCGUCGCACCCGGAGUUCGGCGUGCACAAUGAAAUAAUGGACAUCGCUGACGACAUUGACGAUAAGCUCGACGACGCCGAGGAGGAGGAGGGGGAGGAAGAGGCGGUGGAGGUGGAACGGAACAAGUGCCGCAGAAGAAGGGAAGGAAGAGAAAGCGGGCGGCAAACGCCAAGCCAGCCGAACCACGCGUCAAGUAGACAUCAAAGCAAGACGAGUGCCUUGCGGAAGCGUGGAAGACCGUGAGCAUCGACCCGAUCACUGGCGCGAAUCAGAACACCGACACGUACUCGGGGAGAAUCGAAACGUCGUUCGACGAACGCAAGCUUGUCGACCCCGACUUCGCCAACAUCCACAUGGACAACGGCGAGAAGGCCACGGUGAACCCCUGGUCGACGAUCCAAACGGCCUACAACAAGUGGCAUGGCAUCGUUGAGGAGGUCGCUACUCGCCCGAAAAGCGGUGCCAAUGUCGAGGGUGAGGUAUGGCCAAAUUUCAUCGGCCCUAGUUCGUCACGUCGCCGUGUACUUUGCUGACAUGUUUUGUCCGCGGUUUUGUGCAAAUGAUUCAGAUGUUCGCCAUGUAUCGAACCGAUAACGAGGACAAAGAGUGCAGUUUCUUUCACGCGUUCUCCAGGUCGACUCGUGCGAGAAGUGGAGAGAAGUUCGGCUCGCUCUCGACAAGGCCAAGGAGACCUACAACCCGGACGCGCCUUCCGUGACUGUGGUAGAAGGGCGCCCAGAUGGCACCAAAAAAGCCAAGGCAAUGAGGGACGUGGCGCCCGCUGCCCAAUGGCUGCAGGCUUCGAUCGAGCAAUGCAUCGCCGACGUCAAAAUCAGCGCUACCAGGAGAGAGGAGAAAUCCGACGUGUGGUGGUCGGCGUUGAUGAUCAACAUCGUUGCGAAGAAGAGGAACACCGACCUGGAGUUCUUCAUCGUUGCGAAUAAGAGGAACACCGACCUGGAGUUCUUUAUGGGGAGGGACACGUCGACGAUGGACGAGAAGGUGAAGGCGUGGUACAUAGUGCAGUGCGACCUCAUCUUAAGCCAGGUACCAACACCGACGGCGACCACAACGGCGCCCAGCCCGAACGCAGAAACCACGCCGACCACGAGCCUGACUACACCAAUGACGAACAACCCGACAACUCCGACGAUGAGCCCGACUACGUUGACGACGAGCCCGACGAGUCUCCCGGCAGAGGAGCCGCACCACGCCGAGCCGACCGUUUGAUCCUUUUUAUCCUUUCCUUUUGAUCGCCAAACUAUUGGUGUGUUUGGUUGCCGAACUAUGGCAUGCUGAUCGCUGACUUGUGGCAUGAUGAUUGCCGAACUCGUGGCCUCUCCUAGGCAGCAGGAAAGAAGAAUUUGAAAACAUUGGCAUCUAGGGGCCGAAACCUGGGGGCGCGGCUGGAAACUCGCUCGCCCCCAGGGCGAAAAUAGCGCCGGUGCAACGCCAAAAAGGCUAUCGCCGGGGUACCCUGGGAGCCAAACGGUUGGAGAUGCUGUUAGGCAUUAGAUCGCCUAGGGGCCAAAUCAUGUCGUGCCCAUGGAGUCCCCAAUGUUAAAUAAAACAUGAAGAUCAAUGUUACUUUGAAGCAAUUUAGUGUGCAACAAAGAAAAGAUAAUGACAUCUCUCUUUCUUUUGCCUUAUUUUUCUUAUUCUUCUUUUACACCUACUAGCAAAAAAGACUGUGCGUUGCAACGAGAGAAAAAUAUAGUACAUGUCUAAUCAUGAGUCAUGACCUCAAUAGGUCCUCGUUCUUUAUUUAAACAACCCAUCCCGAAGUGGUCCUAAACCUAGGGCACCUGACAUAAGGGAGACCUGCCUCAACCUUGACUAGGGCCAACCAUGCUCAAGGAUAUCAGGGAACCCUACGGAGGCGAAGGCAAUGAGCGUGUUCCCCAAGACAAAGAGCGACAUCCAAAUCGAUCCUACCUACCCCAUUUGUAAGCCCUACACCUCUCGUGGGUAUAUAAAGGGAGGAUUAGGUCCUCAUUAGGGAUCCUGUAACGCCCAAGAUGCGAUCCUAUUCUUAUUUUUUGCACGAGGGCCUCGACACGGAUAUAAGCGCAUCUUGUCGUUUUGCAAGAAUGGAUAUCAUUACAAGUACAUGUACUGAAGAGAUGAGUAUAUGAAAUUGGCUUACACUCGCCACAAGCUACAUCAGAGUCACAUCAAUACAACAACAUAAUCAAUCAUCAUGAAGAAGAGCAAGGUACGACUACAAACGAAAACAAACAACAAAAGAACGACGUCCAUCCUUUCUAACCCAGGCCGCCGGCCUGGAACCCAUCCUAGAUCGAUGAAGAAGAAGAAACUCCAAAAGCACAAUCAUCGCGCUCACGUCAAAGUAACUCUUUAGAUGCACCUGCAACUCGUGUUGUAAUAAUCUGUUAGCCACAGGGACUCAACAAUCUCAUUUCCAAAGGUAUCAAGACUAGCAAAGCUUAAUGGGUGAGGUAUGGUUAAGUGGUGAGGCUACAACAAGCGACUAAGCAUUUAUUUGAGGUGGCUAACUUACGAGUACAAGAAUAAAAGAGGGGGAUGAUCUACACAUAGCGGACAUGAACUAAUAAUGAUCAAAAGAAUGAUCCUGAACACCUACUUACAUCAGACAUAACCCCACCGUGUCCUCGAUCGGAGAAGGAGCUCAUGAAAGAGACAGUCACGGUACGCACUCAGUUGGCAAGUUUUAAAUAAGUUUACUUCAAGGUUUCUAGAACCGGAUGUUAAACAAAGUUUCCAAGUUGCCACAUAAUCGCGGGCACGACUUUCCGAAAGAUUUAACCCUGCACGGGUGCUCCAACUAGUCCAUCACAACUACCACACGCUGCACGGAAUAACCUCGAUCAGGGAAACCCAUGAUCUCCUCAGGUUCCUAUUGGAAAACAUCAACCUCGAGAUAUCCCAAAGCAUCCUCGGAAUCCCUCGCACAAGACGAUCGAAAAAGGUAAAACAAGUCCAGCAAGGCCACCCGACGUGCCGACAAUCCCGAUAGGAGCCGCGUAUCUCGUUCUCAGGGCACACCAGAUAAGCUAUGGUUACCACGCCAGACGCCGAGUUGCCCCGGGUAGCGUUAAUAAGCUGCUCUGUUUGGAACCAACACCAUUAGCACUGGCCCCCCUGUAUUAUGUUGAAUUACUCCUCGGGUUCAUGACGCCCUAUGUUUUCAGUAUUAACAAAAUUAUUAUGUUCGGCAAAUAUAGUACCAAUGUUGGGCCUUGCCAGACCAGCUUUAUCCCAAAACGAGAAUCUAGGGGGUCCCCAUAAUAACUCCAAGCAUGUUAGGAGCGCUCAUUUAUGGAACAUAACACCGAUAGCUGAAACUAAGGUGGCAAAGGUGGAACAAAACACCAGGCUAGAAGGCCAAGCCUUCCACCUUUUACCAAGUAUAUAUGUGCAUUAAAUUAAGUAGCAUUUAAUAAAGUGAUAUAAAAAGGAACCCAUGUUAACACAUGGAGGCAACUACACCUGCAACUAGCAACUUUAACACAUGGUUAAGCAAAGCAGUAACAUAGCCAAUCAGUGGUUUGCAAGGUUGUAGAAAGGUUGAAGGUUUUCAUGGCAAUGUUGGGAGGCUGAUAUUUAAAGGUGGUAGGCAGCGAGACAUAACGAUAGAAACGAAACAACUAGCAUGACAAUGAUAGUAAUGGUAUCUAGGGAAAUGAUCAUCUUGCCUGUGAUCCCGCUUGGAAGAAGAACGACUCCAUGAAGCAGACGAACCGACGUAGUCGAGCGGAUCCUCACAUUCCGACAAAGUUUCCACAUAACCGCGGGCACGACUUUCCGAAACAUUUAACCCUGCAGGGGUGCUCCAACUAGUCCAUCACAAACUACCACACGCUGUGACGGAAUAACGUCGAUCAGGGAAACCCGUGAUCUCCUCGGGUUCCUGUUGGAAAACCUCAACCUCGAGAUAGCCCAAAGCAUCCUCGGAAUCCCUCUCAGAAGACGCUCGAAAAAGGUAAAACAAGUCCAGCAAGGCCGCCCGACGUGCCGACAAUCCCGAUAGGAUCCGCAUAUCUCGUUCUCAGGGUACACCAGAUGAACUAUGGUUACCACGCCAGACACCGAGUUGCCCCGGGUAGAGUUAAUAAGCUGCUCUGUUUGGGACCAACACAAUCAGCACCGCCCCCCUGUAUUAUGUCGAAUUACUCCUAGGGUUCAUGACACCCUAUGUUUUCAGUAUUAACAGAAUUAUUAUGUUGGGCAAAUAUAGUACCAAUGUUGGGCCUUGACAGAUGAGCUUAAUCCCAAAACGAGAAUCUAGGGGGUCCCCAUAACAACCCCAAGCAUGUUAGGAGUGCCCAUUUAUGGAACAUAACACCGAUAGCCGAAACUAAGGCGACAAAGGUGGAACAAAACACCAGGCUAGAAGGCCAAGCCUUCCACCUUUUACCAAGUAUAUAGGUGCGUUAAAUUAAAUAACAUUUAAUAGGGUGAUAUAACAAGGAACCCAUGUUAACACAUGGAAGCAAGUGCACCUGCAACUAGCAACUCUAACACAUGGUUAAGAAAGCGGUAACAUAGCCUAUCAGUGGUUUGCUAGGUUGUAGAAAGGUUGAAGGUUUUCAUGGUAAUGUUGGGAGGCUGAUAUUUAAUAGGUGAUAGGCAGCGAGACAUAAUGAUAGAAAUGAAACAACUAGCAUGGCAAUGAUAGUAAUGGUAUCUAGGGAAAUGAUCAUCUUGCCUGUGACCUCGCUUGGAAGAAGAACGACUCCGUGAAGCAGACGAACUGACGUAGUCGAACGGAUUCUCACAUUCCGACACGCUUGCGGAACUCUAUCGAGAUGAAGCAAACGGAAUCAAGAAUCAACACACGAUAUUCACCACAACACAUGCAUGACAUGAUGCAGUUCACAUAUGAUGCAUGAUGAGUUCCAAAUAUUCAAGGCAGGGCAUGGCAAUUCACAUAGUCAAACGCUACACAUUAAGUGAAGUUGUGAAGCUCAAUAUACAACUAGUUGCAUAUUGACGAAACUCCACAUUCAAAUAUUUAGUUCACUCCCGAUUAGGUACACGACAUUAUUAAAUAUCGUUUAAACAUGGCACGAGGUGAAGCACAAUUAAACAUAUCUAUCUAGGCAUUUUAAAUGAGGCUGGAAACGACAUAUAGCGUCUCCGAACUAACCCCACAUGUUAACUUUGUAAUCUAUGCAUAUUUGUCGUAAUCACAUUUUAUGUUUGUUAAACGGAAAAACAAACUGGUUCACGUGAUUCUACUCGUCGUUCUAGUCCAUUUACAUAUAUGGUCAUCUCCAACGGAGCUACGAUUAAUUAACUACGACCUAAACCGUUUCUAACACGUCGACACAAAAACCGAUGCAAACAACACACUAAACAACUUUAAAUAUGCAUGGGAGCUGGAAAAUAUUAAUCUACACGAAAUUCUACAUGUUCUACAUAUAUAACUCGUCGCGAUCCGACGCAAGGUUUAAAAGCUACGCGCGUUUUAAAAAUGCAUUUUUCUGAAAAAGAAUUAAAUCGCAGGUUAAAAGAAAAAAACUACUCGGGCCGAAUCUGAUGGGCGCUCGAUAGUUAAACUACGCACGGGCGUGGAAUAGGCGGGGUUGGCAGGAGGGCUCACCUCGGGGGCUAGGCCCAGCUGAAGAGGAGGCAGGCCGGCUGGGCGUUGGAGAAGCUGAUGCUCGGCCGGCUAGAGGCCCAUCUCGCCGGCUGCACACAGCUGGGCCGGGGCGAGGUAGCUAGGCCGGCUGCUGGCCCAUGCGGGGCUGUCCCGGAUCUCCAGGACGAGGCCAUGGCGAGGAGAGGCGGUGAGCUGCAGGUCCAGUGGCGGGAUGCGAUCGAUGGGACUCUGGACCGGCGGGGAGGGCCGCAGGGACGAGCCGACGUCGGUCAACGUAGUGGGUGGAUCCACAUCCGAUCUGGAUCGAAGUUACGGGCGACAGGGGCGAUGGAGUGCGUCAGGCGAGGCAGGCUUGGGGCUGCCGAGGCUUCGGUCGGCGGGAGCUGGGUGCGGCGGCAGCAGGGUCCGACAACGGAGGCUCCGUCGACCGGCUGGCGGGGUUGUCGGUGCCAAUGACGACGACUCAAGGGCGGCUGGCGCAGGAGCUCGCUCGAGGGCUCCUCCCGUCGGGAGCUCGGGCAAAGCCUGGUGCUGCAGGGGAAGUCUGAUCCGGGCCUGGGGAGAGCCGAAUCUGGGCCUGGCGGGCCCGCUCGAGGAGAGAGGAUGUGCUAUGGGUGGCGGCUGGCUCUGGGGGGCACGGAAUACGAGGAGAAGGUCUAGGGUUUGGUCCGAAUUUAGGUAGGGAGGUUGUAUAAAUAGGCAUGGGGCUAGGGUUAGUGCUUUUCGACGUUUUCGGACCCUAUGAUCUCGAUCGGACGGCUCCGGUUUCUCCCUAGGAUUGGAUAGGCUAGUGGGCUGUGUAGAAUAGGCUAAGUGGGGAAGAGUGGGAGUUUUUGCGGCCCGACACGAGAUUUUAAACACCGAAAACUGUGCGUCGAUAAACCGAUGAUGGUGCCGCUACGGUCGACCGUUCGGGUAUCAAACGGACUCCGAUUGCGAUGAAAAUUGACAGGCGACCUACCUACACUAUAUUAAGACCGCACGCCAAGGUUCAACCCAAUCCGAGAAUAUUUUAUACAAACUUUUGAAAACAAUAUUUUAACGAUGUCGCGGGCGUGGGCGUGUGUGCUCGGGCUCAAAAUAGAUAACGACGAACACGGAGAGAACUGACAACUACUAACGGAUGCAGGUUUUGAAAACUGGUGGCAACGGAGUGGCGAUGCAAUGUAGAUGAUGCGCAUGAUGUGAUGAUGCAUGCGACAACGAGACGAAUCACACGACGAGAACGGUAUAACAGGGGAAUCUUCUAGAGCAUCGGUCUCGGGCAGUCACAGAUCCAAUAUGAAACUCAACUCUCGAUAGAUAUCUCAAACACCACUAUAAUCCUUUGUGCGAGGACCAUGAAUAACGAGACAAAACAUGAUGUAGUGUAUUACUCUUAGGAAGCCCAAACUUGGGUAAAUUGUGUGCAGACUCCAUCCCGAUAAUUCCGGUCUCGUCAUGAACCCUAGCGAGGGAUCUCAUGGGAAAUUGCUUCAUCAGUUGGCGCGUCACGCACGAGCGACGUUGACCGAGAACGAACUCGACACGAAUAAAAUUUAGAGGGUGGCGAUGGUUCGCCAGGCCAUCACCUCAUGAUGCGCUCUUUUGAUUUGGUCGCUGAUGGAUCAGGGUGAUUCCUUGACAUCUCGCCUCCGGGCUUCGCCACACGCAUCUAUAAUAGUCAAGGGUAGGCCUACACUACUAGGAAAAUGGCUAUAGAUGAUAUAGACACUAAUGGCGCACCAGACAAGUAGUGCGCCACUACUAUAUAGCAAUGGCGCACCAUGUGCAGGUGUGCCAUUAGUGUGAUGGAUACUAAUGGCGCACCACUCACCCAGUGCGCCACUACUAUAUUUUUUUUUUGCAAAACUACUAAUGGCGCACCACCAGCUGGUGCGCCAUUAGUAACCAGGGUUACUAAUGGCGCAUUUGUAGGUGGUGCGCCACUACUAUAUAUAUAUUUUAGUUUUUUGCAAAACUACUNCGCACCCUCCCAUGUCUCCUCGCUCGGUUCCCCCGAACGGAAUCGGUCGAGCGCACCACCCACCCCUUCCCUCCACCCGAGCACCAUUGCUAUCCAAAAAAAAUUACUAAUGACGCACCUUUUUGAAAUGCGUCAUUGCUAUAUAUAAAAAAAGAUUACUAAUGGCGCACUGCAUGGGGAUGCGCCAUUGCUAUAAAAAAAAAUCUCAUGGCGCACCGCUCGGGGGUGCGCCAUUGCUAACCGGUUCUACUGCUUGUGUGGUUGGACGCGUGCGUUCCAUCCAUCGUCCUCAUUUCCCCACCCCACCCUCCCUAUCGGAUCCCGCUGCGUGCAGAUCCGCGAGCCCCGGCAAUGGCUUCCACGCCGACGGACGGAGCAGGCGAGCCGGUCGAGGCCAAGGGCAAGGGGAAGGAGGAGGGGGAGAAGAAGAAGGCGGGAGGACGGGUACUGGGGAGGAUCUGGCAUGGGAUCUUCGGCGGCCGUGAGGACUACGAGAAGCGCCUGCAGUACCUGUCCAAGGAGGAGGCCGCCGUGCACGCGCGUAUGUGCCGCCGGACCCAGUUCGCCCACCGCACCGUCCGUAACAUCAUCGUCCUCUACGUCGUCGCCGAGGUCACCAAAUCCCCUAACCAUCCCGCUCUUUGUUCCUUCUCCAAUUUACUACGCGUGUGGAUGCCAUAUCUGAGAUGAUCAUGGUCUGCUCUAGCGGCCCUGGAUGCGCCUAGGUUUGGAUUCGCGGUGAUUCCAUUUGUUCACGCUCGGAGAUUUGGCUGCCUCAAUGUUUUCUUGGUCGAACGUUGGGAGUUUUUCUUUUUCUUUCCGUGCUUCUAUGUGUGCGCGUACGCGGUCGUGUGCCAGGUUGUGAACAUGCGAUUGGGGUGUUAUAUUUUCCCCAGAGGUUAAAAGAAAACCAGCUUUGUUGGAACGAAGUAGACAGAGUGCUUUGAAAGUUCGGGAUCAUCCAUGCUAAUUAGACAUGGCAAGUUGGCCACAUGGGCGGAUACACUGCGUUUCUGGUUCAUAGAUUCUAGAGUAGAUCUUCUUACUGGGAAGAGAUGCACAUAUUUUGGCUAUGAUUGUUCUGUCAGAUAUUCAUGUUCACAAGUCAAUGCUAUUUGUUCAUUCCUUUCCUUUUGGAGUUAUUACUGUGUACACCUGCCCAAAAUGUUUAGUUGUGUGCUACUGUUUUCAAAGUAGAAAUUGAUGUAUGUUUAAAUAUAUGUUUAGAUUGUCAAUGCAUAAGAAACCAAUGUUGCGCAAUUUGUGUAUUUCCAGGAACAAUAUUUAUAAUCUAGUUGCAGUUUGGUGUAUUUGAGGUAUCAUUAGAACAACACUAAGUAGGAUUGCUAAGAGGGUUUAUUUUUUGAGUAUCUGCUGAAAAGGAAACACUGGUUUCCUCUUAUGCUGUGGUGAGAGUCUUUUGGGGAUUCACAGUUUGCCUCUGCGAUCCUCUAAUUAUGUGAAUUAUUGAGUGCUGCACUUCUAUGGGUUACAUUUAUAUUAGACUAGUAAUGGCUAUUUUUGUACUAAGUAUCCAACAAACAAUUUGUGCCUUCUUAAUAGUUGGUCCUAUUCUCAGGCUGUGGCUGUAGGUUAUGCCAUCGUGAUGACAAGAGACGAAGAUCUCACUUGGCAAAUGAGGGCAAUACGAGUGCUGCCUAUGUUUGUUUUGCCCGCCAUAUCGUCUGUGGUAUAUUCAGCAGUUGUAAACUUCACAAGGAUGCAUAAGUAUCUUGAAAUCACUGUCUGAAUUCAUAAUUAGUGGUCCACAUAUUUGAACUAUUUCUGCAUUUUUUUUAACCAUUCUUAGUGAGUCCUGCAUUGCUGCUGCCGUCCCAUCAUGUUUAUAUGUGUGUCGAAUGUGACUUCUGUUACUAUAUCUUUGGCUUUAAUAUUAUGAAGUAUGGAGCACUAUGUUUUUUUUCCUGCAAAUCAACAGUAUGUUGUUAUCUGGCACACUAUUGUACUAGUUCACAUAUGCUGGUGUGAACUGUAUUUUAAGUUUCUGGCUUGAAUUGAAAUAAUUAAACUAAUUUCCAUUCUUCUAAUUUCUGAUAAGUAUGCAAUACGAAACAAUUUACAAUAUAUGGAUGCACUUGCACACAUAGCAUUUUCACUUCUUUGCACAUUUUUUAGUUGUGGUGCUUCUAGUUUGACUCACUCAAGUCUUUUUUACUUUCACUUGUGUGUGAUCUUAUGAGAGGAGAUAGAUUUCCUUUAGUUUUACCUAUCUUCCCUAAAAUGGUUAUGCUUCUAGCAAAAAUAUUGUUGUGGGGUUUGACUUCAGGGUUUGUAAUAUGUAGCUUGUGUUACAGAAUUUAUGUUUAUGCUUUGUAAUACAAACUUUCAUUUUAGCUGGAAUGCUAUUCUUUUCUUUUGACGUUCUGAAAUUCGAUGGCAGUCAAAGAGUGUGUCGAAUUGCUUGGGACUUAGAUACGUGUAAAUAAUAUCUGCAUGAAAGCGGUUAUUGUUCCCCUAGAUCCUAUUUAUCCAAAUAGAAACAUGGUGUGAUUAAUUUAAGGGACACACACAUAAACAUCAUUCUGUUGAUGCACAUAAAUAUCUGUUUGCUACAAUGCACUACAUGGUCAACCAUCUAUCUAUAUUUUCAGCAUAUAUGUGUUCUGCAUAAUGACGGUAGUAUGAUUUUGUUUCUCAGGUACAUAAGCAACCUUGUCAUAUAGUAUACACCUUAUCGACCUACACCUCUCCAACACUAUGUAUUUCCUGCUGGAGGUGAUGGCUUAUACCUAGUCGUUGAUGGAAAUGGCAAGUUCAGAGAGGACAGUUCUGAGAAAUCUCUGAAUGUCCUUGCCCCUGCUAGUGGCAAUGACAAGAAGAGGGAAAACGGUAAGCGGCAAAAAGGUGUUGUCGCGACAGGCAAAACUAAUGUAGAAAGCGACAUAUUCAAGAUGGUGAAAAUGAUAAUUCAACGUCAAUAUGACCCUGUGAUACUUUUCAGCUUCUGUAAAAGAGAGUGUGAAUUUCUUGCCAUGCAGGUAAGUUCCUUUUCUAGAUUGAUGGUCGCUUUGCAGGAUAGUAAUAUUCUUUGGCUCAAGGAAGUAAAUGUCUUGGUUAAUUUUGACUGUCCUUCUUGUGUUGUAGAUGGCCAAGAUGGACUUGAAUGGGGUUGAUGAGAAAGUGAACAUUGAAACCAUUUUUUGGAGUGCCAUGGAUUUGCUUUCAGACGAUGACAAAAAGCUUCCCCAGGUUUCAAAUAUGCUUCCCUUAUUGAAACGCGGCAUUGGAGUGCAUCAUUCUGGUCUGUUACCCAUUUUAAAGGAAGUGAUUGAGAUACUUUUCCAAGAGGGCCUCAUCAAGGUUAGUAAAUGUUACUGAUCUCAUGGCUUCUUGGACUGACUGUUUCCUAGCCUCCAAACUAGCAUAUUGUUGGAAGUGUAGUAGUAUACCCUAGUGGCCUAUUACUUUGUCGUUGGAAGAAAAACAUUAUUAUUUGCUUCUCUCUUGAGCUGAAACUAUGCGCCUUAAAAGCUGAGGUUAUGGUUCUUGGUUUGAGUGUUUCACACCAAAGUAACAGAUGGUGGAUUCAGGUCAUUAGGAUAGUUGCUGCUGUAUUGCAGUUUCAUAGUCAAGAUGGAGUAUUUCUGUCUAAGUAAUCAUUUACUGUUUCUGUAUUUCUUAUGUUUCUUCUAGUUGUUUAAAUGCACAAUUUUCUUUUAUAUUGCUGGCUCUGAUAUUAUUAUAUUCUUGAUUAGUGCCUUUCAUUUGAGCUACAACAUGUUGCUGAAUCAACUACACUCUGAGGAUGGGAAGGUGGACAGUACACAGAUUCUGCACAAUCUCAAUGAAGGUUUGUUUUAUAUUUCUAGCUUUUCCUGCUCUGAUGUGCCCACAGUACACUUCCUAUAUGUCAUUCAUAAUAUUUUUCUAUACAGAUGAGUUACCUGGAUUUGAAGAAUCAUGGAAGGGCAAUGCUGGACAACACUUACCAGGCUCGAACCAGAAUGCGGGUAUAUCUAAUGGCGAUAACUCUGGUAAUCAAUAUUUAUCUGUUCUCACUUAUGCCAUGCCAUUGUUAACUUUGCCGUUCAACAUGAAUGCUAGGAACUGCACAUAGAUAUUGCAACAUUUCUUCCUAUGGUAGAAAAUAUAUCUGCUGCAUGUCAAAAUGGGCUAGAAAUCACAAAAAAAGUGCAUUAUUAAAGUCGCGAAAUUAGAAAGGGAUAGCUUCUUAGUGGGUCACCACUCACAAUCGCAGUUCUGGAGAAUAGCUGUUGGACAUGUUGAUUGCUCAUAUAUAAAGUAGGACUGAGAAGGGGAACAUAUGAAAUAUUUUUUGGUGCUUGUUCAACAAAUGUUAACAUGACCAGACAUGAAUUUGGAAAGUAGUUACUCCCUAGAGGCUGGAUGAUCUUCUACAGGAGUGAUUAAUUAGUUCUCUGCAGUCUCUGUAGCUUUGACUAUGAUUUACUGGAUUUUACUAUGGACUUAAAAGAUCAAGUGAAGUGUCAAAUAACCUGUUCACACUAUGCUAAUGUGGCUGUUGUAUUUGCAUCAAGUAUGAUGAACUGACUGAUGGGAAUUUCAGCACUUCUGUAUUCAACUCUGAAGCUAAAUGAGAAGAAAUGGCUACAUGGAGUAUGACAAUAUGUUAUGCUCGAACGCAACAAGAUAAUUAGAUGAAAAUACACUUGUGGAACUGUGAUAGUACAUAGGGCUAUUUUGUUCUGGUCUGCCUAUCAUUGCUACUACCAUUUAGUACGAGCAUCCAAAAUCAUGCGGUCCUAUGGUUUGAUCUUUAACAUGUGGAUUGGCUUGUAUCUGCUGAGACGAGUUAUAUACUACUUGAAACCCUUUUGCAUUAUGAAGUUUAACUUCAUCAGCUCCAGUUUCUUUGGGUAGCACAAUAUAGAUGUUUUUUGAAUAAUAAUUAGGUUCUCCAAUCUGAAUUAUAUGUAUCCUCUACUGUAGGGAGGCUUGUCUACUCUAGUGAAAUCUUUGAGAUCAAGGUGCAUAGAAUUGAUCACUGAAAUUGAGGCUCGUUUAGAUUUUGAAGACGAGAUGCCUCCAUUGGACCCUAUGAUGCUACUUUUGGUUGAGAUCAAGGUUCCGACACUUUUGACCUUUGAGCAGCAUAUGCAGUGGCAUAGAACGAUCUGAACAAGCCUGGUAGGUAUCCAAAGAACAAGCAAUGAAAUUGAACCCAUUUUCUGGAUGGGGUCAAAGAUCUAUCGGCUGGGAUUACUGUUGUCACUGUCCUAUAGAUUUGGGUUGUAUCGUUGUGUAUUAUAUUUGCUAUGGAGCUAUGUAUGUAUGGAUGCUAUGGAACUAUAUGUAUAUAUGGAUGCUAUGGAAUUUUGGAUGUAUGGAUGCUAUAGAAUUUUGAUUUAUGGAUCAUGAAAUUUGUUAUGCAACUUUGCAUAUAUGUUAUGUGUUGUCGACCAGUAAAACUAUUGGGCACAUAUUAUGUAUUAUAUAUUUGAUAUAUAUGUUAUGUGCUGUUGAAUUUGUGGUUUUGUAACAAAACAUAUAUAUGCGAGAAUACCAGAUACUAAUGGAGCACCAUGGGCUAUACUAAUGGCACACUGCCUGGUGCGCCAUUAGUAUAUAUGCCCUGGGAGGAAUACUAAUGGAGCACCAUGGGCUAUACUAAUGGCGCACUGCCUGGUGUGCCAUUAGUAUACCAGAUACUAAUGGCGCAUCAUGAGCUAUACUAAUGGCGCACUGCCUGGUGCGCCAUUAGUAUACUAGAUACUAAUGGCGCACCAUGAGCUAUACUAAUGGCGCACUUCCUGGUGCGCCAUUAGUAAAAAAUUCUAAUGGCGUGAUGCUAGUGGCGCACCUGUAGUGCGCCAUUAGUAGCCAAAACAGGUGCGCCACUAGCAGGCCUUUUCCUAGUAGUGCUAGGAGGUCCACGACCACCCCGAUCACAUCGUACGGGAGCACAUCAAUUGUACAACCUCCACGGUUCUAGGAGGCCUCCUACGAGACCUUCGUGAACACGCACCGGAACCAAAAGCUCGCAAGGCAUGCGAUCUACACAAAGAAGGACAUGACAAGCGAACGAGUGGCGUGGUCCCAAGAAAUGACCACCUUCAAUGCCGAAGAUCACUUGAAAGACAUUGUACAAUCAGGAAAGCGCACCCUAAUGGUAGAUCCCAUCAUGGGGGGUUGCCACCUCUCACACGUCCUAAUGAAUGGAGGUAGAGACCUCAACAUCAUCUUCACCGACACCCUAGAAAAUAUGAAGAUCUCUUUUUAGGGCUAUGGAGAUCGGAUGUAGGUUUCCAGGAAGUGAUAGCAGGCUGCCCGGUCCGUCCCAUGGGGCGUAUCGAACUCGAGGUCAUCUUGGGAGACGAGUCCAAUUACCGAGGUGAAACCAUCCGGUUCGAGGUCACCUCCAUCUAGAGUAGCUACCAUGUGAUCCUGGGCAGACCCGUGUCAACCCAAUGUGCGGUCCUAUCCUCACAGAAACAUGAAAACCGCGACAAGGAUAGAAGCUCAUAUUGGAGACGCUUUAACAAGGUGGAUAUCGUCACAAAUACAUGUACCGAAGAGAAGAGAAUACAAGAUAUUGGCUUAGACUCGCCACAUGAUACAACAUGAAUAUCUCAAUACAUCAGUACGUAACAAUCAUCAUACAAAAGAGCAGGAUCCGACUAUGAAUGAAAAAAGGCGAUGUCCACCCUGUCCUAGGUUGUCGACCUGGGACCCAUCCUAUGAUCGUUGAAGAAGAAGAAGAAGAACACUAAAUUGUACAAUCUUCGCUCUCACGUUAAAACAUCACAUUACUUGUACCUGCGCCUGUUGUUAUAUGAAUCUGCGAGCCACGGGGACUCAACAAUCUCAUUACCAACGGUAUCAAGACUAGACAACCUUAAUGGGCGAGGAAUGGUUAAGUGGUGAGGCUACAUCAAACACUAAUUUUUUUGAUAUCUAGCUAACUUAGGAUAACAAGAAUAAGAAGGCUGAUCUACACAUGAACGGACGUGAACUAAUAAUGACCAGGAAGUGAAUCUGAACACCUACUUACGAGUCAAUCAUAACCCCACCAUGUUCUCUUACUGAAUUCACUCGAAAAGAGAUGGUCACGAUUACACACGCGGUUGGUGUUUUUUAGUUGGGUUUAGUGUCAAGUUCUCUACAACCAGAUAUUAUAACUUCCCAAGUCGACACAUAACCACAUACAUGAAUUUCAAAAAGAUUUAACCCUGAAGGGGUACUCUAAGUAGUCCAUCAUAAAUUCCACAUGCAUCCAAUAGAAAAACCUCAAACCAUGAUAACACGAUGCUUAUGAAAAGGAAUCACAGUGGACAAGUCGCUCGUCAAAGGUAAAACUAAACCAGCAAGACCACCUGACGUGUAAACGAACCCUAUUGGAGUCGCGCAUCUCGUUCUUAGGACACGACCAGAUGGGCCAGUGUAAAACGACCAAAUCUCGAGUUGCCCCAAGGCGGCGCUGCAUAAUGUCCUGUUUUGUACCAACACUCAUGAAGAUCACUGGCCCAUGUUAUUGAUUAAUUAUCCACGAGUUGAUCAUUCCCUAUGAAAUAUUUAUUAGUUAAAAAAUGUAGUGUCAGUGUUGGCCUUGCUGGAGGACUUUUAUCCUAACACGAAUGAUGGGAGGUCGCAUAAUACCCCACAUGUGUUAGAAGCAAUCAUCAAGGAACAUAACACCGUUAUAACGGAAACUAGGGUGGAAAGAGUGCAACAAAAUACCAAGCAAAAGGCUGAGCCUUCCAUGCUUUACCAAGUGUAUAGAUGCAUUAAUUAAAUAAAUAUGAUAGUGUGAUAUCCCAUGAUAUCCAUGUCCUAACAAUUGAACAAACUGCAACUGCUACUAGCAACGCUAUAAGAGGGGCCAAGGAAGUGAUAACUUAGCCAAACAAUGGUUUGCUAGGAUGGUGGAUGGUUAGAGGCUUGUCAUGGUAUUUUGAGAGGCUUGGAAAACAAGUGGUAGGUAGUGUUGGGGAUAUUAUCCAUUAUAUGACCCGCCAUGUUAGGCCAGGCCAGGUUCAUGGUGACUUGUCAAUCGUGAUCAAGAUGGGAUUGGGCCCAGGACCCAGAAGGGGUGAGAUGAUCUCCAGCAGAGGGCCGGAUGAGCCUAAGAGCCCCGAUGGCAACUCAAGGCCCAUGAAUAGGAAUACUCACCAGGUAGUUUCCUUGCUUGGGAGACACGGUAGUUUAGAGAUAUGUCAGGUCACGACUUAUGAUGUGACCUGGACUCUUGUAAACCUAGAGCCUCGACCUGUAUAUAAAGGCGAGUCUCUAGGGUAGAAAGAUUAAGUUACAAUCCAUCGAGAGCUAAUUCAGGCGAGUUACUCACCCUUGUAAUCGAUUCCACCAUCAAUAUACACAAAGUAGGACGUAGGCUUUUACCUCCAUCGGAGGGGCCCAACCUAGGUAAAUCCGAGUCUCGCUUCCACUCGACCCCUUUGAGUCGCCACCAAGGUCCGAUGGCUCCAUAUCUAAGUCCUUUCACGAGGACAUCUGCUGUGAAAAAACCACGACAGUUGGCACCCACCGUGGGGCAUGCGCACGGUGGAGUUGAGUUCUCAAAGGUUGCCCUUCUAGGGUUUGGAAACUACGCGGUCGACCUAAGAGCUGCCGCGAAAAAUACUACAUCGACAAAUCUCAGUGGGGGCCUGACACCGAUUCAAUCGAGUCUGGGUACAGGGUCCCCUUCGGCAAGAUCCAUGUCUUCAUCGGCAAGUUUGGGGUUCCCGUACCUGAGCCGGACACCUUCACCGACAUCGUCGAGCUGGCCCGGUUCGCCCAACCCGCCAAACGUCAGGUUAGGACACGCCACGCCUUCGUUGGUUUUACGCAGGGGAUCGACCUGCCGGAUGAACCGGUGAUCCAGGAGAACACCCCUGUCAACUCGGACGACGAGUCGUCCAUCGGUGACACAGAUUCAAUCUACCCUCUCCACGAAGGGCGGCUUGGGGGAUUGCGCGAGGCGGCGAUUUCCGAGGGUUUCCAAGAACCCCAUCGCCAGGUCACCAUCUGAUACGUCCAAAAUGCAUCACUAUUUUGUAUCAUAAUUUGUCUCUAUUCAUUGAUAUAUUUCACAAUAUGAUGAUGUACUUAUAGUGUUUUGGCUUAUACUACACAAUUUACAACUUUCCGGUGCCGAAACAACAGACGCAGGAUUCAGUGGAGAAAAUAGCACGAAGAGUUACCAUAUCAGAACAUCUCCAACUGUGCUGAAAUUUACGGGGAAGGAGUUUCCGAAAAGAUCACGAAGAAAGGCCAAAGAAGGGCCGGAGGGGGGCCACAGGACACCCAGGCGACCUACUGGCACGGGUCACCCCUAGGACGCUCCCAGAGGCCGCCUGAGUGGUGGGUCCCGCCUUCGGUGCUUUCCUUUGGCCUAUAUGACCCUCGUGACCUAAAAGUUAUGGGGACAUAAGUUUUUUCGGAGUUCCGCCUCCGCUCCGGGGCGGAAACCUACAGAGAAGAAAAGACCUUUCCGGCGGGCAGAUUCCACCAGGGAGAACUCCUCCCGGAAGGGGAGAUCGUCCUCAUCGUCAUCACCAUCGUUAUGGGCAUCAUCGAGAUCAUCAUCACCAACACCAUCUCCAUCUUCACCCCAUCUUACCUUACCAUUGCAAUCGGAGUUGUACCUUGCACUAUUCAUCCCCUCUACUCUACCGAUGUUGAUUACUCUUUUGUGGUGAAUGCUAUUGAGUUUUUUUUGGAGAAUUAUUGUUAUGACCAGAUUGUUUGUCAUAUUUUCAUAACCUCUGAUCAUGAUCUCUUUUAUGUCUUGUGAGUAGUUACUUUAGUUCUUGAGGACAUGGGAGAAGUCUAGUUACUAGUAGUCAUAUGAUGUUGAAGUAAUAUGUGUUGAUUGAUAUUUAAGUUAUGGUGUUAUUAUUCUAGUGGGGUUAUGUGAACGUUGACUAUAUAACACUUCGCCUUUUUAAGGACCUAGGGGAACGCAUCGUGUAUCAAGAAUGCUUAUGGUGGGUUGCCGGAGUGACAGAAACCUGAACCCCAGUUCACAUACUUUUGCACGAGCGAGUAUUGGAUCCUAAAGCUUAUUUCUAUGGUUAGGCUUUGCCUUAAUUUCUCUCUUGUAUUUGCGGACGGUUGCAAGGGGGAUUAGUCAUAAGAGUGUACUUGUCUUAGCCUAGACGGUGCACUUGUUAAGAUCCGCCCACAUAAGACUUAUCAAUACAGAACAUAGUACUAGACAGAAUAUGGCAAAAGCACUUGACUAUCUCUCCCGUGUGUCCUCAGGAACGCCUUAGUCUUUAGAAGUUUAGUUCCUUGGCUUAUCCUUUGUGUUCAAAAGGAUUGGGAUACUUGCUGCACCUCGGCAAUAUUUAAUUCCCUUGCAUUUAUUUCCUUGAUGCUUAUACUAGAAAACCCAUAAAAGUUACCUUUCAGUACUUGCAGUUAUUCCUUGCUCAAGAUCGCUUGUCAGUACCUUCUGCUCCUCGUUGGGUUCGACACUCUUACUUAUCGGAAAGGAUAGGAUAGACCCCCUACACUUGUGGGUCAUCAAGACCAUUUUCUGGCGCCGUUGCCGGGGACUGUAGCGCUAUUGGUAAGUGAAAUUGGUAAGGAAACCUUUACGCUGUACGUGUUGUUUUUUAUUUACUGUUUCCACUUUUUGUCCCUAUGGACAACUCUGCUCUUGGUUUGUUGCUUGUGGGGAACCGUCCCAACGCUAUUGUGGUGGAAAGCCUCCCCCACCUACUAAAAUUGUACCCUUUAAAAUACCAACUGGUAUUAUUGAUUGUGUCUUGGCUAAUCGAUAUGCAGGAGAUAGACAUCCAGGUGAACACUUGCUAUAUAUUUCACAACUAUGCUCCUUAUUUAAGCUUGCAGGUAUAUGGAUGGAUUUUUAUGAGAAAUCUAUUCUCUCUAUUAUUAAAAGAUAAGGCUUUGGAUUGGUAUAGGCUUCUUGAUAACUCUCAUUUACUAAAUUGGCAAGAUCUUAUGCCUCUCUUUUAUGCAAAGUUUUAUCCUCUUCAUGAAAUACAUCGAGACAGGAACUAUAUUUAUAACUUUUGGUCUCGUGACAGAGAAAGCAUCGCUCAAGGUUGGGGGAGAAUAAAGUCCCUAAUGCUCAAAUGUCCCAAUCAUGAGCUCUCCAAGGAAAUUAUUCAUACACAUUUUUAUGCAAGGCUUUCUCGUCAAGAUAAAGAGAUGCUUGAUGCCUCCUCUAGUGGGGCAUUCUCCAACAAAAGCACUGAAGCUAGGUGGGAUCUUAUUGAAAGGAUACAGAAGAACACUGAAGAUUGGGGGAUUGAUAAAGGUAUUGAACCUGUUAUAAAUUAUGAGCAUGAUUACAUUGAGAGCAAUGUGAAAACUGAUUACUUCAAUACCUUUUGUGCUAAGAUUGGUCUUGAUUCCCAACUCCUAAUUGAUUUUUGCAAAUACUUUGCCUCUCAUAUUGACUCUUCCAAGAAGAGGGAGGAUAAACACCAUAAACCUUUUAAGGAAUUACCUGUUGAUAUGAAUGUUGUUGACCCUAUCUUGCCUGCAGUUUUAUAUGAAAAGCCCCCCUUUCCCCACAAGGAUGAGGGAGCAUUCUUUUGUCACAUGCAUACUGAAUAAAAGUGAAAGAACGACUGAUGAGCAUGAGGACCUGAUUAAGGUCGAUCCUCAAGUUGCAUUAGUCAAGGAUCUUGUUACUAGUAAUAUUGAGGAUUCCAAUAUAAUUUUUUGUGCUGUUUCUACUAACCUCGUUACAGCGAGGAAUAAAGGCCCAAUUUCAGGUACUCUAGUUGUAUUUGUUAAAAUAGGAGAUCAUAAUUAUUACGGGCUAUGUGAUUUGGGAUCUAGUGCUAGUGCUAUUCCUUUUUCACUUUAUGAAGAGAUCUUGAAUGAGAUUCUACGAUGUGAAAUUGAAGACGUUGAUGUUAUUAUUCAUCUUGCAAACAAAGAAACUAUCUCUCCUAUUGGAAUUGUGCGAGAUGUUGAAGUUCUACGUGGAAAGGUAAAAUAUCCUACCGACUUUCUAGUACUUGGUUGAGUGCAAGAUAGUUUUUGCCCUAUUAUCUUUGGUAGGACUUUUCUCAAUACUUGAGGUGCUAUUAUAGAUUGUAGGAAAGAAAAAGUAUCUGUUGAAUUUAAUGGUGAGCCAUAUGAAUUUCACUUUUCUAAAUUCUCGAAGCAAACUCGUGGUAGUGAUUUACCUAGUAAUGGUAAAAUUAUUGAAGCGAUUGCUUCUAUUGCUAUUCCUCCUAACGAUCCUUUGCAACAAUUUAUGGAGGACCACGAGAAUGAUAUGCAUAUGUAGGAAAGGAAUGAGCUAGAUGACAUAUUCUUGAGACAACCUGUUAUUCUGAAGCACAACCUUCCGGUUGAGCCUUUGGGAAUUCUAUCAAAACCAAAAGAAGACCCGAUGUUUGAUCUUAAACCUAUUCCCAAUAGGCUCAAGUAUGCUUAUUUAGAUGAAAAGAAAGUAUAUCCUGUUAUUAUUAAUUCUAACCUUUCAGGAUAUGAAGAAGAGCGGUUAUUGGAAGUCCUUCGUAAACACCGAGGUGCUAUUGGCUAUACCCUUGAUGAUCUUAAGGGGAUUAGUCCAUUUAUUUGUUAGCAUACUAUCAAUCUUGAGCCUGAUGCUAAACUGGUUGUUGAUCAUCAACGACGCUUGAACCGGAAGAUGAAGGAUGUUGUGAGGACCGAAAUCCUCAAGCUGCUAGCCGCAUGUAUUAUCUACCCUAUAACUGAUAGUAAGUGGGUAAGUCCGGUACAUUGAGUUCCCAAGCAAGGAGGUGCGACUGUGGUUCCUAAUGAUAAGAAUGAACUAAUACCUCAAAGAAUUAUUAUUGGAUAUAGAAUGUGUAUUGAUUACAGGAAGCUGAACAAGGCAACCAGAAAGGACCACUACCCGUUGUCGUUCAUCGACCAAAUGCUUGAAAGGUUAUCCAAGAACACUCACUUUUGCUAUCUUGAUGGGUAUUCUGGCUUCUCUCAAAUUCAUGUUAACACUGCCGAUCAAGAGAAGACCACUUUUACUUGUCCCUUUGGUACUUAUGCUUAUAGACAUAUGCCUUUAGGUUUAUGCAAUGCUCCUGCUACAUUUCAAAGGUGCAUGUCUUCUAUCUUUCAUUGUUUUUGUGAGGAAAUUGUGGAGGUCUUCAUGGACGAUUGUCUCCACAACCUUAAUAAAGUUUUGCAGAGAUGUGAGGAGACGAACUUGGUACUCAAGUGGGAUAAGUGCCACUUCAUGGUCAAUGAGGGAAUUUUUUCUUGGCCACAAGAUUUCUGAAAAGGGAAUCGAGGUGUACAGGGCAAAGGUCGAAGCAAUCGAGAGGAUGCCUUAUCCAAAGGACAUCAGAUGUAUUCGUAGUUUCCUCGAUCAUGCUGGUUUCUAUAGUAGAUUUAUUAAAGACUUCUCUAAGACUUCGAGACCCCUCACUGAUCUUAUCCAGAAGGAUAUUCCUUUUGUGUUUGAUGAAGAUUGUAAGGAAGCCUUCGAAGUUCUUAAGAAAGCCUUGAUAACCGCCCCUAUAGUCCGACCACCUAAUUGGAAUUUGCCUUUUGAAAUCAUGUGUGAUGCUAGUGAUUUUGCUAUCGGAGCUGUGUUAGGACAAAGGGUUGAUAAGAUGAAUGUUAUACAUUAUGCUAGCAAAACCCUUGAUAGUGCUCCAAAGAAUUACGCUACUACUGAGAAAGAGUUUUUAGUGGUAGUGUUUGCUUGUGAUAAGUUUAGGCCUUACAUUGUUGAUUCUAAAGUCAUCAUUCAUACUGACCAUGCUGCUAUUAAGUAUCUUAUGGAAAAGAAGGAUGCCAAACCAAGGCUUAUUAUAUGGGUCCUUCUUCUUCAAGAAUUUGAUUUGCAGAUUGUUCAUAGGAAGGGAGCAGACAACCCUGUAGCAGACAACCUUUCCAGGAUGGCGGACAUACCACAUGAUCCUAUUCCGGUCAACGGUAGUUUUCGUGAUGAACAGUUAGCUAUUUUGAAAGUACAAUCUAAUUCCGAUCCAUGGUAUGCAGAUUAUGCUAACUUUAUUGUUGCAAAGUUUUUGCCUCCAGGUUUAACUUCCAGCAGAGGAAGAAGUUCUUCCACAACUUGAGGUAUUACUUUUGGGAUGACCCACAUCUUGUUAGAGAUGGUGCGGAUGGGAUCAUGAGGAGAUGCAUACCGGAGCAUGAGCAGAAGGAUAUCUUGAGACAAUGUCAUAACAGUCCUUAUGGAGGACAUCAUGCCGGUGAGAGGACCGCACACAAGGUUCUCCAGUCAGGUUUUCAUUGGCCCUACUCUCUUUGAAGACGCUAGAAAUUAUGUUUUAUCUUGUGAUAAGUUCCAGAGAUUUGGUAAUAUUAGUAGGAGAAAUGAGAUACCUAUGAAUUAUUCUCUUGUCAUUGAGCCUUUUGAUUGCUGGGGUUUUGAUUUUAUGGGCCCUUUUCCUCCUUCACACAAGUACACUCACAUCUUAGUGGGUGUUGAUUAUGUGACCAAGUGGGUUGAAGCAAUCCCCACUGAAAGUGGUGAUCACAAGACAUCUUUGAAAAUGCUCAAGGAUGUAAUCUUCCCUAGGUUUGGUGUACCUAGGUACCUCAGGACCAACAGAGGAUCACAUUUUACACAUGGUGCUUUUAGAAAAGCUCUAGCCAAAUAUGAUGUUAAUCAUAGAAUUGCUUGAUCUUACCACCCACAAACAAGUGGGCAAGUUGAGUUCACAAAUAGAGAGAUCAAGUUGAUCUUGCAAAAGACAGUGAACAGUUCUAGAAAGGACUGGUCCAAAAAGUUAGGAGAUGCCUUGUGGGCGCAUAGAACUGCUUAGAAAAAUCCCAUGGGGAUGUCUCCGUAUAAGAUGUUCUAUGGCAAGGCAUGCCAUCUACCUUUAGAGUUAGAGCACAAAGCUUUCUGGGCUGUUAGAGAGCUUAAUGCUGACCCAAAGCUUGCUGGUGAAAAGCGUCUCAUGAACUUGACUUCUCUAGAUGAGUGGACAAGUGAAGUUUACGAGUGCGCAAAAAAGUUCAAAGAAAAGGUAAAUAAGUGGCAUGACAAGAGAAUUUUGAAACUUGAAUUUAAUGUUGGUGAUAAAGUUUUGUUGUAUAGAUCUCGUUUCAGGUUUUCUCUAGGUAAAUUACUUUUCAAGUGGGAAGGACCGUACCAUAUCGAAGAAGUCUACCGCUCUGGUGCAAUCAAGAUUAAUAAUUUUGAAGGCACAAAACCACAUGUUGUGAAUGGGAAAAGACUCAAGCAUUACAUGGAUGGAGACCCCAUCAAUGUAGAGGUGGAUGUGAUACACGUAUCCACUCACGAAGGACAUAUUGCAACACUGUGUAAGACACCGGUAGAAGCAGAACAAGAAUAGGUACAAAAUACGGUAAGGAAACUUCGUGAACAUCAAUAGAAGUCCCGUAUUAUGUGUUUUAGCAAAAUAAAGAAAAUUCCGAGCCAAAGUGGAGCCGGAGAGGAGCUCUAGGUGCUCCAGGUGACCUGGGGGCGCGGGCUACCUCCUGGCCGCGCCAGGAGGUCGCCUCGACCACCCGGAGUCCGUCUCCGACCCCACUUUGGCUUGUUACUUUCCUUUUGGUGCAGAAUUUUUUGCUAUAUAUUUUCCUGGAUCGUCCCGGCUUUGUAUCUUGCAAUUCGGUGCAUUUUCUUUUCGAUCUGUUUGUGCCAGGAGAACUUUCAGCAAACGUAGGUGCCAUGGCUUCCCCAAAAUCCCCCAAGGACAAGUUCUUCGUCAACGUCAUCAACCCUUACCUCGCAGAGGUAAAGAGACACCCUCAAACACAUUGGGUGGAGGAUGGUGUCUUCCACAAAGAAUAUCUGAAGGGACCUGUCAAGGAGGGGAGCAGCGAGUCCAGGAUGGAAGAGGUGGAGCAAGAAGUCUUCAAGUAGAAGUUGAUGAUCGAGCGUGGUGUCGAGGCCAAAUUCGAUAUCAUCACCGAGCUAAAGAAGCAACAUGAGAAGGAUAUGAAGGAAGUGUGAUCAGUCAUAUCCGCACUAGAAACCAAAGUGUUCGAACUUCAAGGGCACAUCUAUGACCUUCAAAACCAGAACUGUUAGUAUUAACUAAAGUUUUUACACAUAGGCUUAUCUGCCGAAACCAGGAUCCUGGAGACUCAAGAAUCCUGUGUGGAGGGAGGACCUUUGCCAUGGAAGCUUUUCGCUAAAGACUACCUGAGGAACAAGAACAAGGAUGAAGAGUGACAUCGUCGUGCGGAAAUGGCAUUCCCUUAGCUUGUUCCAAGCUUGGAGGAGUGCUCGUUAUAUUUAUUUUUUAUCUUUAUCUUUUAUCUUUUAUGGUCAAGUUUAGUGUCGUAUCAUGUCUACGGAAGUUAUCUUAUGAAAUAGGUGUUUGCAUUGAGGUCUAUCACUCCUUUGUGGAGAGUCUUGUAUCCGUGAGUGUGCAGUUGUCUAUGAUGGAAUAUUAAUGAGAAGUCUAUUGGUUUCUUUGGUGCACCUGGUAUUCUCUUCAUGCAAUCGACCUUAAAUGAGGAUUCUUAUGGGAGUAUUGAUCUUACAUAUCAGGUAUGGCUUUGAAAACUAUAUUUAAUCUUGGCAAACAUAGCAUUGGUCAUAACAACAAGCAUGAGUUUUUCUAGUAGCGACAUAGCCAAAACCUUUAUGUUCUUAUGUUUGAAGUGUUAUGCUGACAAGGAAGACAACUUGAUGUUUCAUGCCAAUUCUUUAUGUUAAACCUUAUAUUGUUUUGCAUCCAAGUCAACAUCAUUUGUCUGCUCUCAAAAGCCUUUGCUAGACAACCCUUGUACUAAGCGGGAAUACUGCUUGUGCGUCCAUACCUUGAAACCUCAACCUUCCCAAGAGUCCACCAUACCUUCCCUUUAUGUGUUAUUUCACCGCCACUCCUAAAUUAUAUUACUCGUCUGCUAUCUUUAAACCUUCAAAUAUCACUCCCUGUUUUGUGCCUCUGUUUUAGCUCAUGAGGAAAUAGUAGAUAAUUCAUGAUCUUCUCAUACAGGACAAGCUUUAUCCUGGGUUUGUAUGUUUAAUCUAUGAACCCCUAAUACAAGGAGGGACUGGCAUGAGUGCACCCAGCUCGUAAAAGAUAAUAACAACAAACAAAACCUCCUUCACGCUUUGUUGAUGAGAAAACUUUGGUAGCGAUAAACAAAGGAGACUAAGGGGAUGUGAUCGUCCCCACUUUGAGAGCCGUUCCUCAAAACUUGUCCAGCAUGAGAAGUAUUGGGCUAUCUACUAGCAUUCGUUGACAAAUUAUGCACCUCUCAGAAGCUUGUUGUACAAUCUCGUUGAUUUCAAAAUCUCUAAAAUCUCUAGCACAUGAGUUUUCCCUACUUCCCUCUGCGAAGGGCUAAUCUUUUACUUUUCUGUUGAGUCAGUAACCCUAUUUCUUUCUAUCUUAUAAAAGAGGAGACACCUUAUGUUGACAAAGAUGCAUCCAUUCAUAUUGUUUUGAGAAUUUCCAUAUCACAUCUUUGUUGACAAUUUCAUUAAGAUGAGUAAGUUGUUUGUUAAGCCUAGCUAAAGCAAACAUCUUCCUUUGUGUUAGCAUUUUCACUUCUUGACUAAUAACAUGUUCUUUCAAAAAGCUUCAAUUGAUCUCAUCAAAAUAUAAGAGGAAGAUCAAAAGUUAAAAGUUAUUAGUUGUUCUUUCACCAAGGACAUGUUUGCCAUGGUUUGAUGAGUUUCCUUAGCCCUAUUUUUGAUUGUGAUUGAUAUUACUCUUUCAUAUGGGCCUUAUGUGUUGAGAUUGCUGUUGAGGAUGGUUGAGUUUAGUAGAGAAAUUAUGAUGCUUCUUGUCCGUAUUCUUAUUUAUCGACACUUCACUCUCUAAACUUGUGGACAGGUUUACCGAGCUCAGUAUUCGCUUGGGGACAAGCAAGGCCUAAGCUUGGGGGAGUCUAUAUGUCCAAAAUGCAUCACUAUUUUGUAUCAUAAUUUGUUUCUAUUCAUUGAUAUAUUUCACAAUAUGAUGAUGUACUGAUAGUGGUAUGGCUUAUUUUACACAGUUUACAACUUUCCGGUGCCGAAACAGCACACGCAGGAUUCAACGGAGAAAAUAGCACGAAGAGUUACCAUAUCAAAACAUCUCCAACUGCACUGAAGUUUACGAGGAAGGAGUUUCCGAACAGUUCAUGAAGAUAGGCCGAAGAAGGGCCAGAGGGGGCCACAGGGCACCUAGGUGACCUACUGGCGCGGGUCACCCCUAGGCCGCGCCCAGAUGCCGCCUGGGUGGUGGGUUCCACCUCCAGUGCUCUCCUUUGGCCUAUAUGACCCUCGUAACCUAAAAGUUAUGGGGAUAGAAGUUUUUCUGGAGUUCCGCCCUGCUCCGGGGCGGAAACCUAUAGAGAAGAAAAGACCUUUCCGGCGGGCAGAUUGCACCGGGGAGAACUCCUCCCGGAAGGGGAGAUCAGCCUCAUCGUCAUCACCAUCGUCAUGGGCAUCAUCGAGAUCAUCGUCACCAUCAUCAUCAUCACCAGCACCAUCUCCAUCUUCACCCCAUCUCACCUUACUUGCAAUCGGAGUUGUACCUUGCACUAUUCAUCCCCUCUACUCUACCGGUAUUGAUUACUCUUUUUUGGUGAAUGUAUUGAGUUUUGUUGGAGAAUUAUUGUUAUGACAAAAUUGUUCGUCAUAUUUUCAUCACCUCUGAUCAUGAUCUCUUUUAUGUCUUGUGAGUAGUUACUUUAGUUCUUGAGGACAUGUGAGAAGUCUAGUUGCUAGUAGUCAUAUGAUGUUGAAGUAAUAUGUGUUGAUUGAUAUUUAAGUUAUGCUUUUAUUCUUCUAGUGGUGUCAUGUGAACAUUGACUACAUAGCACUUCUCAUUUUUAAGGACCUAGGGGAAUGCAUCGUCUAUAAAGAAUGCUUAUGGUGGGUUGACGGAGUGACAGAAACCUGAACCCCACUUCGCAUACUUUUGCACGAGGGAGUAUUGGAUCCUAAAGCUUAUUGCUAUGGUUAGGCUUUGCCUUAAUUUCUCUCUUGUAUUUAUGGACGCUUGCAAGGGGGAUUAAUCAUAAGAGCGUACUUGUCUUACCCUAGACGAUGCACUAGUUAAGAUCCACCCACAUAACACUUAUCAAUACAAAACAUAGUACUAGACAUAAUAUGGCGAAAGCACUUGACUAUCUCUCCGUGUGUCCUCACGAACGCCUUAGUGUUUAUGAGUUUAGUCCCUCGGCUAAUCCUUUGUGUUCAAAAGGAUUGGGCCACUUGCUGCACCUUGGCACCAUUUACUUUCCUUGCAUUUAGUUCCUUGUUGCUUAUACUAGAAAACCCAUAAAAAGUUACCUUUCAGUACUUGUAGUUAUUCCUUGCCCAAGAUCGCUUGUCAGUACCUUUUGCUCCUCGUUGGGUUCGACACUCUUACUUAUCGAAAAGGCUACGAUAGAUCCCGUACACUUGUGGGUCAUCACCAUCUACAUGGCAGGGGCGGCGGCGGCAGCCGACCGCCGCGGGCAACAAUGAAGCGACUGGAUCAGGGAAAACUCCGGCUCAAGCCAUGGCAGAUCUAGUGGCAGAGAUGUCUAAACUCACGGCAGAUGCCGUGACCGCGAAGAACCAGGAUGAGGUCAACACCGAAUUGGCGAAGUUGAGAGAGGAGAUGGCCAAGAUCCAACGCGAGAUCGAAGUCGAGGCCACCAGGAUGGCGAGCCAACAGGCCGAGAUCAUCGCGGAGACAGAACGGCUAAGGGUUCAGGGAUGGCAGCUUGAACGACAACAAUGCACUGGCAAUGCGGUCCACUAGAGGAGGCAUCACAAUCGUGUGCCGGCCGAUCUGAACCCUACCCGACUCUUCGACAACCCACAUACCCCAGGGAUGGAACCUAACCCGCCGUGGCGAGUCACUCAGCAGAUUGACCCAGCUUGGCUGCCGCCCAAUCUACAGAGGCCCGAGCCGACGCCGGCCCAGCCUCCGCGCUUCCAGACGCCGAAGGGUCACUUUUUAACCCCGUCGACAAUGUGUCGGCUGCAAACCGCAAUCUAGAGUCUCUUCCCAUCCAUGGAAACUCCCUAGCUGAGGUGGAGGCGAGGAAUGCCAUCGAGAUGUUGAAAACGACGGUGGUCCAACAGGCGCAAUACUCUUAUAGUCGUGAUCGGUUGCACUCUGCGCCUCACGCAAGUUAUACUAGGAGUCGCCAUGACGAUCCGCUCGCGGUGUCUAGCAGUGAACGGCAUCGACACCCGCACGCCAACCCGUCUGGGUUGCCAGACACGCAUGCCCAGGACCUCGUGGAUGCCACACAAGCCGCCCGUUUGACAGAGGUGGCAACCGCGGCGGGUCAAGGCUAUCCGGCUUACUUGCCGCCUUCCCCUGCGCACGGCUAGUCAGGAGGCAGGAACAUAGGGAUACCCUGUCUGUCACCCGCCCUCCAUAAUGAGUGUAUGACCAAGGACUUUAAGGUUCCGCGCAAGGUUCCCAACUACAUACCAGAUCUUGAGACAGGAGCGUGGGUCGAGAGAUACAAGCUUGCGAUGGACAUGCUCGAUGUCAAUGACGCGGUGUGUGACAAGUACUUUACAAUGAUGCUCGAAGUGACGGCACACACUUGGCUGUAGAAUCUGCCGCCCAACUCCAUCAACACCUGGGCCCAGUUGAAGGAACAUUUUGUCAAAAACUUCAGAGGAACUUGCAAGCGCCCAAUGACUAUUGUCGACUUACAUCACUAUGUUCAACGUCCAGACGAGUCGACCCAUCAUUGGACGCGGCGGGUUGCAGAGGUAAUCCAUUCAUCGGAUGGUAUCACGGUGGCUCAGGCCGUGCUGAUCUUGGAGAAAAACUGUCACUACCAGCCCUUGGUGUUGAAGCUUGGGCGACUCAAGCGGAAGGUACAUGAUAUUGGCGAGUUGAUGGACACCCUGACUAGGUAUGCCGAGUCAGACGAUACAAAAGACCCCGGGGAGGACGAUGAUAAAAUCAUCAAGGACAGGAGGGGAGAAUCAUCCAAAAGCCAAUCUCAGGCCCACAGACGAAGUAACUACAACCCCGCGGGUCAAGGGAAGAAAAGGCAGCAGGAAGGUGCCACUGAUUUCGUCGCCAAUACUAACACCGGAAAACGAGAAUCAACGUCAGAAGAAAAGGGGCUUCAGCGGGAAAAAGCCACGCAACUAUCACGAGAUGCUCAAGGGCCCUUGCCCACAACAUACCACAACGGAGGGUCCAACCACUCAUUCUUGGGAAGACUGCUAUGCGAUGCAGGAGUUUCGUGCUGAGGCACUCAAGAAAAACCAAGGAGGCACUAGUGGUGGACACCCGGACCAAUUUGGAUCGGGCAGCUCACACAAGAAUCCGUUUGGUGGUUUUUCCAACCCUGGUCCACAGGGCGGUUCGCACUCCAACGCUGGACAGUACCCGGUCCCGAGCAGCCAACAGUAUAAUGCGCAGGGCGGUUUCGAGCAGCAGCUUCACCCGAGCGGCUUCCAGAACAACCCGAAGCAGUUGAAUAGCACGUAGUAUCACAUGUUUACCACCAAUGCUUGCAAGAGGGACAAGAAGGUUAAGCACAGAGCCCUCAGCAUAGCUGAGCUGGCGCUGCCCAGGUAUCUCAACUGGUCCGAGCAGCCAGUUACGUGGAGUAGAGAGGAUCACCCGCCCCGGGUUGAUAACCCUGGCGACUUGGCACUGGUCAUGGCACCACAGGUGGGGGCUAUAUCCUCUCCAAAGUCCUCAUGGAUGGUGGCAACAAUAUCAACAUCUUAUACUGUGACACCUUCCGAAGAAUGCAUUUCUCUGAAGUCGACUUGAUGCCUUCCUCUACGGUCUUCCACGACAUCGUCCCGGGUAAGUCGGCAUAUCCCGUUGGGCGCAUUAAACUCAACGUGGCUUUUGGCACCGAGUCUAACUACAGGAGCGAGUCUCUCACAUUCAAGGUGGUCAAGAUCAAGAGCCGUUAUCAUGCGCUUUUUGUUCGGCCGGUUUACGCCCGUUUCAUGGCCCGCCCAUGUUAUGUCUACCUUAAGCUCAAAAUGCCAAGCCCUAAAGGAGCCAUCACGAUAUGUGGAGAUCGGAAGAUAGCUCUAGAGUGCAAAAAAGGAGAUGCCGCUUAUGCUGAGUCAGCUUGCACAACUAAGGAACUUAGGUUCCAUCAAGCCAAUGUUGACCUGGCAGGCAUGACCCCACUCAAGAAGCCCACAAUCGAUUCAGAGCUGCCCCUUAAGUUUUAGCCUACAGAUGACACUAAGAUGGUUGAUUUCACGCCUGGUGAUUCUUCCAAGCAAUUCACUAUUGGGACGGGUCUGGAUCCCAAAUAAGAAAGCGCACUCAUCGAAUUCAUCUGUGAGAAUCGGGACAUCUUUGAAUCGAAACCUUCUGACAUGCCGGGUGUACCAAGAGAGUUCGCUGAGCACCACCUUAAUGUAGAUCCCAAGAUGAAUCCGGUUCGGCAGUACCUUCAUCGUUUCAACGAGGAAAGGCGUAAAGAAAUUGGAGAAGAGGUAGCCCGGCUCUUGCCUGCUGGGUUCAUUGUGGAGGUUUUUCACCCAGAGUGGUUGGGAAAUCCAAUUUUGGUCCUCAAGAAGAAUGGCACCUUUCGCAUGUGCAUCGACUACACUGACCUUAACAAGGCCUGCCUGAAAGACCCUUUUGCUCUCCCUCGUAUCGAUCAAAUCAUUGACUCUACAGUGGGUUGCGAGGGACUGUGUUUUUUGGAUGCAUACUCAGGUUAUCACCAGAUCAAGAUGGCUUUGGAGGAUCAGGAGAAGACGACCUUCAUAACUCCCUUUGGCGCUUUUUGCUAUGUCUCAAUGCCAUUCGGGCUCAAGAGUGCGGGGGCGACUUAUCAGCGCUGUAUCCAGAAUUGCGUGCACAAUCGGAUCGGGCGCAACGUUCAUGCCUAUGUUGAUGACAUGGUGGUGAAAUCCCAAAAGAAAGAGUCACUUCUGGAGGAUCUCAAGGAAAUGUUUGAUAAUUUGCCCGUGUAUCAGAUGAAGCUUAACCCAACCGAGUGUGUUUUUGGUGUCCCUGUAGGGAAGUUAUUGGGCUCCUUUGUGUCAGAGCGAGGUAUUGAGGCCAGCCCGGACAAAAUUAAGGCGAUUACCUCACUUGGCAAGCCGUCCAAUAUCAACUAGGUCCAGCGUAUGGCGGGUCGUAUUGCGGCUUUGAGUCGUUUCAUAAGUCUCCUUGGGGAGAAGGCCAUCCCCCUUCAUGAGCUGCUCAAGAAAACAAACCGUUUUGUGUGGACAGAUGCGGCCAACGAAGCCUUUGAGGCCCUGAAGAAACAAUUGGCUGAGCCGCCCAUACCGACAAAGAGCCUAUGCUCAUGUACGUUGCUAGUAACUCUAAAGUAGUAAGUGUGGCAGUGGUUUCCGAACGCAAAGAAGAAGGAAAUGAGUAUUCGGUUCAGAGGUCAGUAUACUUUGUCAGCAAAGCCUUAAUCCUCUCCAAACAACGUUAUCCACACUAGCAGAAGCUGGUUUUCGGGAUCUUCAUGGCGAGUCGGAAGCUGAAGCACUACUUCCAGCAGCAUACGAUCAUGGUGGUUAGUUCUGUGCCACUUGGCGACAUCAUACAAAACCGUGAAGCAUCCGGGCGGAUUGCUAAGUGGGCUAUCGAGCUUGGUACUGACCACGUGAAGUAUAUGCCCCGCAUGGCUAUCAAGUCUCAGGCCUUAGUGGAUUUCAUCAACGAUUGGACCGAGUUGCAGAUUCCAGAGGACAGACAUGAUCACACGUAUUUCCCUAUCCACUUUGACGGGUCUAGGCAGCUGGAAGGCUCGGGGGCUGGCGUAGUACUGACUUCCCCGCAGGGUGACACGUUUUGCUACGUCCUCCGGCUCAUGUUUCCAUGUACUAACAAUGCAGUAGGGUACGAGGACUUGCUCCAUGGGCUUAGGAUCGCCAAAGAGAUGAACCUCAGUCGAGUUAGAUGCCUGGGCGACUCGGAUCUGGUGGCGCAGCAAGUUUUCAGAACAUGGGAUUCCAGGGAUAUGUUGAUGACGGCUUACAGACGUGCUGUAUGAGACGUGGCGGGUCACUUUCAUGGUUAUCUAGUUGAUCAUAUCGACCGCCGGCUCAACGAAGCAGCUGAUGCUCUUUCACGACUCGGGUCAUAGUGUAAGCCGGUUUGUCCCAAUGUAUUUUUGGACAUUUUGCAUAAACCGUCGGUGAAAUUGCCUUCUCAAGAGGAUGUAGAGGUUCCUGACCCGGAGUCUCAACUUGUGGCGACUCUUCAUGCCACUCCGGAUUGGGCAGUCCCUUACAUGGCUUAUUUGGCAUGAGGCGAGUUACCUGCUGAUGAGUUGCUGGCCCACCAAAUUAUUCGGCGAUGCAAAUCCAGGGUCAUACAUAAGGGCGAGUUGCACAAACGAAGCCCUUUUGGAAUUUUUCAAAGAUGUGUCUCGCCCGACGAAGGACGUGCGUUCCUCAAGGAAAUUCACGCUGGUGAUUGUGGUCACCACGCCGGGUCAUGCUCUUUGGUGUCCAAGGCUUUUAGGCAUGGAUUCUAUUGGUUGACGACUCACGUAGAUGCUGAGGACAUAGUGCACAGAUGUGACGGGUGUCAGAAAUUUGGGCGUCAGAUGCAUGUGCCGGCUCAAGAGUUGUAGAUGAUCCCAAUUACAUGGCCUUUUGCAGUCUGGGGGCUCGCCAUGGUUGGUCCAUUGAAGAUGUCUUCCAACAAAAAGACUCACCUACUAGUGGCGGUUGACAAAUUUACCAAGUGGGUUGAAGCAGAGCCGGUUAGCAGUUGCGAUGCAGGUACAGCCGUCAAGUUCCUCAAGAAGCUGAUUUUUCGCUUCGGGUAUCCUCAUAGUAUGAUCACUGAUAAUGGUACUAAUUUAUCUAAAGGCGCCAUGCAAGAAUUUUGUGAAAAAGAGCACAUCCGGCUUGAUGUCUCUGCGGUUGCGCAUCCCCAAUCCAAUGGACAAGCGGAAAGGGUGAAUCAAGAAACCUUCCGUGGGAUCAAGCCCCGACUCAUGGUUCCUCUGGAGCGCACCCCUGGUUGUUGUGUUGAAGAGCUUCCUUUCGUUCUUCGGAGCAUAAGGACUACCCCUAACAGAUCCACUGGUUACACGCCAUUUUUCUUGGUCUACGGAGCUGAGGCGGUCUUACCAAGUGACAUCAGGCAUGACUCGCCGCGAGUCGCCGCUUAUGUUGAGGAGGACAAUGAGAUGGCGCAUCAAGAUUCAUUGGAUGCUUUGGAGGAGGAGCGUGACUUAGUAGCAGCACGGUUGGCGGUUUACCAGCAAGACUUGCGACGCUAUCAUAGCCGCCGAGUCAGAAGCCGGGUCUUUCAGGAGGGUGACUUAGUGCUCCGAUUGAUUCAAGAUCAUACUGGUAUGCAUAUAUUAUCUCCCCCAUGGGAAGGGCCGUUUGUCGUGAGCAAAAGUCUUCAUAAUGGUUCUUACUACCUGGUGGAUCUUCAUCCAGAUAGGCCAACAAUAGAGGUUGAAACAACCCGGCCUUAGAACAUUGCCCACUUGCGGCCUUAUUACACUUAGAGCCAUUGGCUCCUUAUCAUUGUACAUAGUUUAGUCCUUGUACUCUCUUUAUAUAUAUAUAUGUCGCAAUAAAGCCGACACCCACGAAAUACGGGGUCUCUGUCAUUUCAGCUUCUUGAAAGCAUGAGUCUUUAUUGUUUCACAAGCCGUCGAAGCAUGGACGCUAUCAAUAUCAAAGAGCAUAAGUCGCCACGUUGCACUUAUUUCAAAACUGGAUACUGGUAAGCCAAAGAGGACCAAAGUUUCCAAGUUGCACGGUUCAAACAUGGGCGCCUUAUAUGAUUUUGAGAACUAAGCCAACUUACUUGGGGGCUACUAGUUCCCAAGUCAUUUUGCAGUAAGAGCGUAAACGCUUCUGCAAUCCUAUGUACGACUUUUCCCUAAUCAUAGGUCACUUGGGGGCUUCUACACACUGAGUUCAUCCUGAAUACCCUCUUGGCUAGCGAAAAAUUAACACAUUACAAUGGUUAUACUGGACUAUAUGCUAGGCGACUCGCCCUAUGGUCCCAUGUACUCUUGGCGAGUCAAUCCAGUUUUGGACCCUGAACUUUCCUUGGUUAAAACAUGAAGGGUGCUUGCUGGAGCAGGUAUAUGGAAAAUAGAAAAACCAUGGGUUCACUGAACCUGCUUCACUGAAGCUUGACUCGUGCCUGAUCAGCCGGUCUAAACAACUAAGGUUGUUGCAAAAGCCUCUCUAGGGUAGCACUAGAGCCUUGCAAGCUCGUCCUACCCUGCCGUGACUCAUUGAGCCGGCAAACUUUAUGACUAGAGAGUAUCUUUGUGGUACAAUUAGAGUUUUCGAAAACUCAUUGUAAGCCGCCACGUCUCACUGAGCCGGCUCAUUAUUUCUUCUCUGACCACAUGAAGAAUAAUUACUUUGCAGAAGACAUGGCAAAACGCCUAGUAAGGCGGCUCAUAUUAACAAAAGGGCGAGACUUCAGAGUCAACAAAGGUGAAAGUGCAUGCUAUGCCCCUAAUCAUCUUUUGGUGUUAAUGACAACACAUACAUAGGAAACUAAUCCUAUUUGUUGAGUGUAUCUCAGGAUGGCAAGUACGUUAGUAGAUUGAGAAUUAUGUGCCAAAGGUUGUCUGAAAAGAUUUGGGAUUUAUAUUUCGAGAAAGCUCGGGAUUAAGAAAAGAUGAUUUAGACUAGUCUUUUGAGUUUACUGAUAUUGAGUAUAGGGAUCCCGCACUAUUAAGAGGGGAUCACAGGUUUUGCGAUGAACUUGCUCAUACCACAUCUUUACUAUCAUACCCAAUACCACAUACUCUCCACUCUGUUCUCAAUUCAAAACAGGUCUAUUGCCUCGGACAUCCGGCUCCCUCCGGACGUCCGAGGGCCGGACGACCGGCAGGCUUUGGAAAUCCGCAGCCCUUCACCAGAAGUUUGUGAGUCAUAUAACUCGGAAAUCCGGCUCCCUCCGGACAUCCGAGGGCCGGACGUCCGGCCAAGCCCCGAAAAUCCGGAAGCCUGCACAGUAGAAGUUGAGUUCUAUAACUCGGAAAUCCGGCUCCCUCCGGACGUCUGAGCGCCGGACGUCCGACCCCCGUCGGAAAUCCGGAACAUACCACUAGAAGAAGUUGAGUUGUAUAACUCGGAUUUCCGGUCCUCUCUAGACGUCUGAUCGCUGAUAAAUUCAAAAUAGUUUCAGUCGUAUCUACAGGCCUCGGACGACCGACCCCUGUCGGACGUCCGACCUCUCGCGGACGGCCGGACUUCCGGCAACUGUCGGACGUCCGGACCCUGUGUGACUUAAAGUACCUCCAACGGCUGGAUUUCACUCCCCAUUAUAUAUACUCUUCUUCCACCUCGUGAAAGGGUGUUCAACACAGCUAGAAUACACCGAAGAACACCUUUCCUCUCACUCACUCUUGUCUACACCAAAUCCUAGAUCCCAAGAGCAUUUGUGAGUCCCUUUGAGUGUUGUUACAAUCAAAAGAUAGAUCGUCUCCCUCUCCUCCUCCCCACCAAAGUGAUUUGUGAUUUGAGCAAGUUUUGAGCAAUCCCCGUGAUCUUGUUACUCUUGGAGGUUGGAGACUCCUAGGCGGUAGGAGUCUUCGGAGAGGAAUCAAACCAUUGUGAUAUCCCCCGGAAAGUUUGUGAAGGUUUGGAAGCCACCUCAAGGCUUACCACUAGUGGUUGAGAAACGCCUUCGUGGAGUUAUCUGAAAGGGAGAAUAGGGUGAGCCUUCGUGGCGUUGGUGUGCCUUCGUGGUAACAUCCGCCCCUCUAACGGUGACGUAGCUUCCCUCCAAGGAAGUGAACAUCGGGAUACAUCCUUGUCUCUCUCGGAGUUUCGGUUAUUCCUAACCCUAACUCUCUACUUGUGUUAAUCCUCAUUACAUACUUGUAUUUGAUUAUUGUUUACCGCUUGUCUUACUUCACUCUAAAUAGCUUACUCUUUGUCAUAGAAAUUAUUAGGCUUACACUCAUAUUCCGCACUUUUGCCUAAAAUUGCUAAGUAAUAUUAAAAUUUGGAUUUGUACCUAUUCACCUUGUCUAGGUCCAUCUCGAUCCUUUUCAAAAGGUAUGGUGCAGAAUAAUAUUGUUUUCCACUCUAACCUAUUACUUGUCUUAGAAGGCCACCAAAUGUUACAUGACACGACAUUGGGUUUUAUGAAUUGAUCUCCAUGGGCGGUCUUCAAGUGACACCUUGUUUAAGCCGCCUCCGGAUUAUCCUGCGUCGAGAUUUCGCCGUCUUGGAUUUGUAAGUAACCCAUUUUUGAAUUGCAAUUGGUUAAGGCAUGGAAUUCAGCCUCGUCAGUCAAGAUGGUGGACAGGUCAGCAUCAGAGUCAAAAGGAUGCUUACGGUGCUGCGGAGUCAGAACUGUGAUUUCAUAAGAGGGAGGAGUGACACGCUUGUUGUGCUCAUCAUAUGCCGCCUGAUACUUGGCUAAAUCCAGACUGGCUGCCAGUUGAGUCACCUCUAGGCGGGAUUCCUUCACACAGAGGUGGUAAUCCUCUUCAAAAAAUUCUGACCUAUCAUCUUUGUACUAUGGAAACCCGCCAGUUAUGUCCUCCGGCUUAAGCUCUAGAGCAUAAGCCAAGCACCGGCUCAGGGUGGUCAAUACUCCUUUCCGGGCGACUAACCUUUUUAAUUCUUCAAUCUGAGGUGGCAGUGUGGACAAGCACCCCAACAUAUACUUGAUUGACUUAACGGGCUCCUUGUCGCCCAUAACGACCUUAAUAUUCAUCACGCCGCCAAUAAAAAGUUGCUCUGUUAAGGUAUAUAUGGCAUUUAGUUUCAAUACACAAUCAUCAUGGAGAUUGGCAGAUCAAGGACCUGCAGCAAGGAUACACAAUCAUAAGUCGCCGCAAUGUUUUAGAACCCGACUUUGCAAAUAAGGAUAGUGGCGGAUACGUACCAAACACGAAAUUAGCCAUUUUGGAGAUGAUAAGCUUAAGCCCGGUCAGUUCCUGCACGGCGACCUUCAUUUGUUCCUCGACUUGUUCAACCCUUUUCAGCAAGGCGGCUCGCUCAGCUUUGGCCUUUUCUUCAAGCUCCUUGUGAUCCGCCUUCAUCUUCUCAAUGUCAACCAAUGCAAGGCUGAGCUUUUAUUCAAACUUAGCUCGGGCAUCUUGCUGCUCCGCUAAGCUUUCCCUCAAGCCGGACACGAUUGAGUCGGCCUGGCUCAACGUUUCCUGCAAACACCAGACGGUUAUAACAAGUUCCAUGCAGAUUGCGAGCAAUAUCCCUAACACUUGGGGGCUAAUGUCCGAGUCAAUUUUUCCAUGGCAAGACGUUAAAGCAAGACCCGACUCAUCUUCAAGAAGAUAACCCGGCCCUUGAGGGCUAUAGGUUGAAGCUUUCUUCAAAUUUUAAGCAAUACCGAGCUCAUCUUCAAGAAGAUGACCCGACCCUUGGGGGCUACAGGUUGAAGCUUUCUUCAAAUAUAAACUUAAGACCCGGUUCAUCUUCAAGAAGAUGACCCGGCCCUUGGGGGCUACUGGUUGAAGCUUUCUUAAAAUUUUAAGCAAGAGCCGGAUCAUCUUCAAGAUGAAGACCCGGCCCUUGGGGGCUACAGGUUGAAGCUUUCUUCAAAUAUAAGCUAAAACCAGGCUCAUCUUCAAGAAGAUGACCCACCCAUUGGGGCUACAGGUUGAAAAUUUCUACAAAGCUCGACUCAUCAAAGAUGACUCGCCCUUUGGAGGGCUAAUGGGAGUACAUAUGAAGGAGGAUAACAGGUAUCAUACCUCAUGUUUUCUUUUCAUCAUAUUAACCAAGCUUUUCUCCAUUUCAUGACUCGUCUCCAGGCGACUUAAUGUCACAACCCUAGUUUCUAUUUUCUUUCCAAGCAUUCAUGCAUGCAUAUUUAAACUUUGAAGUUUUUGAAGUGGGAAGUGAUCAAGCCAUAAGGAAGAAAACUUUAACAAAAAGGCAAUAGAAAUAUUACCUUAAAAUGAACCAGGAAAAUGUUCCAAAUAGUUGAGAAAAUAGUGACAUGAUAUAAACUUGUCAUAUCAAUAUUUAGGACACAGAAACUUUUUGAAAUGGAUCUUUGAUUUGAUCAAAUAACUAUUUGGAAUGGAAUGAUUUUGAUUUAUAUAAAAUAAAAGUUUCAAAAAUUAUGAAACUGUUAUGUGGCAUUGGGUAUUUUUAUCACUGUCACAUAAUAUUAUUUUAUGAUUUUAUAAAAUGAUUAAAUAUUUUAUUAAAAUCCAAAACCUAAAUGUCAGAAAAGAAAUGAAAUAAAAACAGAAAAAAGAGAGGAGAAGACGUUACCUUACACUCAGCUGCUGGCCAGUCCACCAGGGGGGGUCUCCCCUGUCGUCUUCCUCCUCGUGCCAGAAGGCAGAGGGGAAGAGGAGCACGGCGGAAGCAUCAGGAGCCACCUCCUGCUUCGCCGUGUUACUCUCGCCUGUCUCCUCGCGCCAGCACGACGAGCAUCGCCUCUCCUUAUCUCCUCCCCGCUCCAUUCCCCUCCUCUCUUCCUCUGUUUCCUUCUCUCUCGCCGCCAUUGCCGGUUUGCCCGAGCUCGCCUCCAGCGUGUCUUCGGCCACCCCUCGUUCCCCUGACCAGCCCAUCAGCUCCGCCUCGAUGAGCCGCUCCUCCCCGUCAACCUCCCCGAGCACCCAAGCCUCCGCAGCGUCGCCAUCACCACCUUCUUCCACCUCCGGUCGCCAGAGCUCCCCGCUUCGAUUCGUCGGACAGAGGGCCUCUCCGUCGUCGCUGAUGCUAGAAAUGGAGCCGCAGUGAGCCCCUGCUCUUUUCCCUUCUCUCUCCCACGCGAAAACUCACUCCAGAGCUCCUCCCCGAUGAGCCCGACCUCCGCCCGCUGCACGCGCUCGUCACCGGCACCCUCUCCGGCCAUCCUAGCCCCUCCUACUACCCUACCAGAUCGGGCACUUCGCUCGCUAGCCGUAGCCGCACACCGCAUGCCAAAUAGUGCCUCGUAGCUCGAUUCCGGCCAACUCCGGUGAGCCUGCGCAGCGGGCUUGGUCGCCGGCGACCACCCUCCGGUGGGCGUCGACGUGGCCGACUAUUAUAGCUUAAUUAAACCCCCCACAGCCACUACCAUAGGGCCCCAUGCCUAGUCAAACCCCAAUUAGGGGCUGGACAGCGCGGGUUUAGCCCCUGGGUCACUGACCUGUGGGCCCCACUGGUCAGGGUUGACCUGGCCCAGGCGCUGUUGACUGAUGACGCCAGUCUGACGUCACACUGACGCAGUAAAGCCUUUCUGAUUUUAAUUAAUUCCAGAAUAUUGCCAAAACUUCAAAAGUUCAUACAAAAUAAAAUAUUACUUGGAUGAAAAUAAUUUAUAUAUGAAAAUUAUCAGAAAAAUGCAAGGAAUCCAAUGGAACCAUUUUCAUGCAUGGUUGAACAAUUUAACCUUGCUAAAAAUGACAAAUUCACAAUAGGCUUAUAAGUGAAAUGUAAUUGGAUUUUGAAAAUGAUUUAUAUAGAUCAAAUAAACUUAAAUCAACUUGUGAUCACUUGCAUUAGGUAAAAUCAGCAUCAUGAUAACCUGCCAUGCUCAUGCAUCAUUGUGAAGCAUUUGCGGUGAUUAACAUAUUCUUGUUUGAUCUGUUGUUAGACCUUGCGAGAUGUAGUGAUCACCGACAUCAAAGAAUAUCUGAGUUCUUCUGAUCAACAGGCAAGCAAAACCCCCUUGAGCAUUCCGAUAAAAUCCUACUCUCCCGCUCUUGCUCUCAUUUCAAUGCAUUAGGACAUAAAGAUUCAAUUGCUACUUAUGUUCGGUAGAUGAACCCAUUCCUUUGCAUGACCUGUCUCUGUCACAGUAAAUAGUUAAACCAAGCAACCUAGCAUACCUUGUAGAUGCUUGAGCCAUGUUGUGCCAUUACCCUGAUAUGCUUGCUAUGCUUAGAGUUGAGCUGGUCUGAUCAUCUGGAUGAUGAACUGGAAUGAUCAUGUCCUACUGAUGAGAGUUAAGUGUGUGAACCUGUGUUGGUAAAGGUAGCGAUGAGAGGCCAUGUAGGAGUACAUGGUGGGUUGUCUCAUUGUCGCCGCACUUAGGACCUGAGAUCUUGUGUUGGUGUUCCAAGACUAGGUACUAACGCACAUUGGGUUCCGGUAACUCGACCCCUCUCGGACUAUUAACUACUCUGUUCUCAGUCCAGGAGUUGCAGUAGUUCGUAACAUUCAUAGGUUGUGGCACGGCCGGCUAAGUGGAUGAACGGCCCACUCGGGACCGGCUUGGGGCCCUGCUCACAUCGUUUGAGGCCAUGUUGGAAACCUCGGCCGGACUUCCAUUAUGGGUUCCGACUUAGAUAGGCGACUGCCUUGGGCGUUAGACAUUGUAGGUUAACGUCCGUGGCUGACUCCCUCGUUGGGCUUCCGCUUGAAGGUUGCUGAGGUGCUUGUUUUAUGUGCACUUGGCGAUAAGUGGUGGGAGCAUGUGUGACGAAGUACACCCCUGCAGGGUAAUUAUCUAUUCGAAUAGCCACGUCCUCGGAUAUGUACUACUUGGAUACUUGCAUGGUUCAUAGAUAACUUUAACAGAUACUCUAAAAUGGUCCAGAUAAGUGUGAGUGCUAUGGAUGGCCCUCUCGAAGGAUGACGAGAGAGGGUCGAUGGUGGUGUAUUGAUGUAAUGGUUAUGUGGAAUCGUGUGCGCUCUCUCGUAAUGAGACGAGAGAGGUAGUAAAACAUUAUUGUAGAAUAGGUUAACCAAAGGUCAAAGCUGGCUUUUCUGCAAUAAACCCCACAAUUCCGUUCAUUGAUACAUGAUGCAUAUGUAGUUAGUUCUGAUGUAAGUCUUGCUGAGUACCUUCGUACUCNNNNNNNNNNNNNNNNNNNNNUUUAGUAGUACUCUUUAUAGGGAAAUGCCUCUGUGUGCUUCCGCUGAGCCUUGGUAGCUUGCUACUGCUCCGGACACAUUGAUUGACCGGCAUGUAUCCUUCUUGGCUGCUGUGUUUGUUCCCUCGGGGAAAUGUCACGCGGUGUAAUGGAGUCCCUGUAGCUUGCUACGACUUGUCUACACUCGCUGAUGACCGACACCUUCCCUGCUGGGUUAUGUAUGCGUGUCCCGGUACGGAUGUGCCACUUGGGUUCAUAACUAGCCAUGUCGAUCCAGGUUCUCUGACAUAUGAUUGCUGGCAACAUAGUCAUAUGCGUGAGCCAAAAGGCGCAAACGGUCCCGACCAAGGUAAGGUGGCAGCCGUGGUGAUUACCGUGCGUGAGGCCACAAAGUGAUAUGAUGUGUUACCAGCCGGAGUUGUAUGGCUUAGGAUCGGGUUCCUGACAGCGUUGGUAUGAGACCUUGACUGUCUGUAGGAUUACUAUGCCAAACUGGUCGAUGUUGAGUCUAGAAAAUCUAUAGUUAUAUGAGGGAAUUGAUUGUGGAAGGGAACGUAAGGUUCUUUUAUUCUUUUCCGUGAGUCACUCUAUUCUGAGUCACCUCUUCUUUUCUACGGGGAUUAAGGACUAGGCUUCUUAUCUAUCUACUGGGAUGACGAGUUACUAAACCAUGGACUUAUAGGAUGAUUUUUGUGUGUCAAUCCUUCUUCCAUCAGAAUUGUGAGAAGAGAUGUCUUUGUUCUUGUUGCACCUUGAAUCCAUCACAUUGAGUUGUUAUGUUGCCAAAUCUCUUGCAAGAUGCCUCAUACUUCAUGCCAGUACAGCCGUUAUGCUGUCCGAUUUUCCCUAGGAUUGUGGUGUUUUAGUGUUCUUCCUUGUCUCUAAACUUUGGACUGUUUCUUCAGGAUGUCGCGAGUAACCCGGAAUGCUGCUGGUCGUGAUCAGAACCAUGGAGAUGGUAGGUACGAAGAAGAUCCUCUUAAUCCGCCUUUGUUGACAGAGGUUAUGUUAGAAAUUGAGAGGAACAAGCACGCCACCAACCGCCUGUUGGAGCACAUUGAGAAGAAUACAACCUAUCAGCGCAAUGAGCUAGUAUCCCUCAGAGACUUCAUCAAAUUGAAUCCACCCACCUUCCAUCAUUCCAUUGAGCCACUAGAUGUAGAUGAUUGGCUCCGAAGUAUCAACAACAAGAUGCGUUAUGCAAACGUGGCUGAAGGAGACAAGGUUACCUAUGCCACAUAUCACCUCGAAGGUUCUCGUAGUCUAUGGUGGGAGAACUUUGAGGCUAUGCGUCUUUCAGGCCAAGUUACUUCAUGGAAGGAGUUCUGUGAAGCUUUUCGUGAGCAUCAUAUUCCGCAGGCCCUGAUAGAUCGUAAGCAAGAAGAGUUUUGCAAUUUGACUCAAGGCAAGAUGGAUGUGGAUGCUUAUAGUCGUGAGUUUGGACGCCUUGCGCGUUAUGCACCAGAAAAAGUAUCCACGGAUGCCAAGAAGCAAGCUAGGUGCAGGAAAGGUCUUAACCCAAGGCUUCGUCAUGAUCUCAGUUUGCAUGAGUUCAUCAGUUUCGAGGUCCUGGUGAACAAAGCCAUCCGUGUAGAAACGAGCAGAAUGACCUACGAGGAAUCUUGCAAGCACAACCGUGAUGUUGGAUCAUCUUGAACUUCUGUAUCCCAGAAGCGUAGGAUAUGGAUUCCGAAUGCUGCUCUUACUCCGAGAUAUGUACCGAGGCCAUCCUAUGUGGCGCCUCGUCCGUCGAUGCCAAGUGUUCCCCAAAACAAUCUCAUCAAUCAAGUGCUCAACCCAGACCCAUGCCCUAUUUAUGGAGCAUGUUUCAAGUGUAGCAGGACAGGACAUUAUUCAAGGGAUUGUCCUUUGCAUGUUUAUGUUCCACCCCUUCAGGAAUGGGUGUUGUUCGUUGCAAGCCGCCAACUAAGAAGUCUAAGGAAAAGUCAGUUGCUCUAACCCGUGGAUGUGUGCACCAUGUAUCUGCAAAAGAAGCUCAAGAUGAUGAUGAUGUCGUGCUUAAGACACUCCUUGUCAAUUCUCAUCCAACUUCAGUUCUUUUUGACCCUACAACAUCUCACUCUUUCAUCUCCGAACGUUAUGCCUCCUUGCAUAACAUUGCUUUUGAAGAUAAGCCCACUCCAUUAGUAAUUCAGGCUCGAGGUUCCAAAUGGCAAACUAAGGCAGUAAGUCAUGGGAACCAAAUCCUUAUUGAUGGUCUAGUAUUCCUUGCUUCCUUGAUACCUCUCAAGACUUCAGACAUCAAUAUCAUUUUGGGGAUGGACUGGUUGACAGCUCAUCAUGCCAAAAUUGAUUGCUUCGCUAGAUCUGUUCAGCUCACCCAUACCUCUGGCCAGUUAGUCAAUGUCUCAUCUAGUAUUUCAAAAUGCCAGAUAUAUGCCCUCAAUGCCAAUCCUCUUCCAGACCUUGAAAACAUCCCGGUAGUCCGUGAUUUUUCCGGACUCUUUCCAGAAGAACUGCCAGGUGUCCCACCUGACAGAGAAGUAGAGUUUGUCAUAGAACUUGUCCCAGGAACUGCUCCAAUUUCUAGAAGACCCUAUAAGAUGUCUCCUCAAGAAUUAGCUGAGCUUAAAACCCAACUUGAUGAAUCUUUGAAGAAAGGUUUCAUCCGUCCUAGUUCUUCUCCUUGGGAUUGCCCUGUCCUCUUCGUCAAGAAGAAGGAUGGUACGAAACGGAUGGUUGUAGAUUAUCGACCGGUUAAUCUGGUCACAAUAAAGAACAAAUAUCCGCUCCCUAGGAUCAACGAUCUGUAUGAUCAGCUCGCUGGAUCUGUAGUCUUUUCCAAGAUGGAUUUGGGAUUAGGUUAUCAUCAAAUCAAAAUUAGGAACAGGGACAUUCCUAAGACGGCCUUUAUUACUCGUUAUGGCCAAUACGAGUACACCGUCAUGUCCUUCGGUAUAACCAAUGCCCAUCCACCUUCUCCCGCUUAAUGAAUUCGAUCUUCAUGGAGUACUUGGACAAAUUCGUUGUGGUUUACCUCGAUGAUAUCCUGAUUUACUCGAAGAACAAAGAAGAACAUGCUGAGCAUCUUAGACUGGUAUUGAUAAAACUUCGAGAGCAUCGCCUUUCCGCCAAAUUCUCUAAGUGUGAAUUAUGGUUACCAGAAGUGACCUAUCUAGGUCACGUAAUCUCUGCGAAAGGUAUUGCUGUCAAUCCCGAGAGAGUUCAGGCCGUUCUUGAUUGGACUCCACCUGAAUCGGUGAAGCAAGUUAGGAGUUUCCUUGGCUUAGCAAGCUAUUGUCGCCGCUUCGUCCAGAACUUCUCCAAAGUUGCCAAACCUCUAACUGAACUCCUCAAGAAAGAUAAGAAGUUCGAGUGGUCCCCACAGUGCCAGGAAAGUUUUCAUAAGUUGAAAAGACGACUGACUACUGCCCCGGUACUUGUGCCCCCAUAUUUCACAAAGGACUUUAUUAUCUACUAUGAUGCCUCGCGUCAAGGACUUGGAUGCAUUCUUAUGCAAGAUCGUCAUCUGAUUGCCUACACAUCUCAACAGUCGCGUGCACAUGAGGAGAAUUAUCCAACAGAUGAUCUGGAACUUGCUGUUGUAGUUUAUGCACUAUUAACCUGGCGACAUUACCUCUUGGGUAAUCGUUGCGAAAUAUACACUGAUCACCAGAGUCUCAAGUAUAUAUUCACCCAACCGGAUUUGAAUCUCAGGCAAAGACGAUGGGUUGAGUUGAUCACGGAUUACGAUUUAGGAAUAUCUUACACCCCAGGAAAAGCCAAUGUUGUCACUACAAGAAAUAAGCUCGUUUAUGACAAAAAAUAAUGACGACGGUUUUAUAGGUCAUAGAUCUAUGACUAAAAUUUACAAAAAGGUCAUGAGGUGUCUAAGAGGGUCCAAACCAUAGAAACUUUUGACCAUCUCUAUCAAGAAGGUCAUAAUCCCGUUGUCCAAAAUGGUCACUGGUAUGUGUAGCUCUAUUUAUGCCCGCAUUGUAGGUCCUACAUGACAAAAUUAAGAAGGUCAUNNNNNNNNNNNNNNNNNNNNNNNNNNNNNNNNNNNNNNNNNNNNNNNNNNNNNNNNNNNNNNNNNNNNNNNNNNNNNNNNNNNNNNNNNNNNNNNNNNNNUUCGUGCGCGUAGGAAAAUUUUUGUUUCCCAUGCGACGUUCCCCAACACACAUUCCCUCCCCCCCCCCGCCGUUAGGUUCUACGUGCUUCAUGGGGCGGCGCCCCAUCGCCCUCGACACCGGCUGGAGCUCCAAGAUGACACCAGGGGUGGCGAGUGGCCUUAUGACCGAUAAGGCUCAUGAAGUGGUGUCCAGGAUCCCCCUUUGGCGCUCGAGCGAUUCCCCAUUCCAUCCCUUUGGUCAUCGCCCCAAGGCGCCCUAAGGCCUCCUGGGGCUCUUUGUGGUGAUAUCGCGCUUCCGUCCGGGCCCCCGAACGAUGGUCGACCGCUGAAAAUGUUUGCCCCUCGGACAGCAAGUCCUUGCUUUCAUGCUCCUUGACACCUAGGGGUGGUGUGGAGCGUUCAGCUCCUCAGAAAAUGUCAUCCAGAAAAGGAGGCUUCAAAGUCGGUGAAACGAGAAAGCGCAAGAUAGAACUCCCCCUUUUUGUUUUUCAAACAACAACUUUUGAAAUCAGCAAAUUUAAGUCCAACAGAGGAUAAUUCAAGCUCCACGAAGAAGCAAGCAAACGCCAUGUCCGACACCUAGGCUAAUCUCCGCCGCCAUCUCCCCCCAGCGCGGAGUAUAGGGCGUCCAAUAGGCGUGGGAGGGACCCCUCCGCGUCCUCGGGGGGCCCCGGGAGUAUGCAACCACAGCUUGUUAUUACAUGAGAGUGUCAAGGGGGUGUAUCUGGGAGGUCGCGAGGACGCUUUGGCCUCGCGAGUGUUCCUACCCCUAAGGCAUAGGCACCUGAUUCCUUUUGGCUGAUCUGCGGGCAUAGUCAUUGGUGGACUGUGUUGAUUUCCUUGCCAGCUGCAGGCAUAGUCAUUUGCGGACUGAGUUGAUUGCCCCCGUCUUCUCCCCAGCGCGGAGCGUAGGGCUGCCACUAGGCGUGGGAGGGACCCGCCCGCGUCCUCGGGGGGCCUGCUGCUAGCAGUCCCUGGCAACGACACUAGAAGAAUGUUGUUGACGUGUUCCUGACUUGAUGCCUCCGCGGCAACAGAUCCAGAACUGCUCCUAGUUGCUCAACAAUUAGCAAUUGUCUUGCAAUGGCCCACCAGCAUGUGGGAUCGCGACAGUUUUUGAGGGUAGAGUAUUCAACCCAAAUUUGUUGGUUCGCCCGUCAGGAAGUGAAAGGAUACUCUCAAGUAUUAGCAACUGAAUGUGUCGGAUUCAACCGCACCUGAAAGAUUAGUAUCUGCAAGCAAAGUAUUAGUAGCAAAGUAGUAUGAUAGCAAUGGUGCCAGAAACGAUCUGUUGACAAGGCAGACUAUUCCUAACGGUUGUAUCAAUGGCGCCAGAAGUUGCCCGUAGACGGGAAAUAGUCUUUUCCCGGCAACGACGAGCGAAAAAGUAUUGUAGCAGGUAGCAGCAGUGUAACGAGUAACAACAGUGGCAAGGAACAGCAGUAGUGACAGCAAUAGCAAGUAGCAAUAGUAGCAAGUAACAGCAGCAGAGCAAAACAAGUAACAACAGCAGCAACAGUAGUAACAGCAGCAGAGCAAAACAAGUAACAACAGCAGUGGGACAAACUCGUAGGCAAUGGGUCGGUGAUUCGUUUGGAUGACAUUCAUCAUGCAACAGUUAUAACACGGAGAGAUAUGUGGCUAGCUCCCGUUCGUCAAUGUGAUGUAGGCAUGCAUUCCGUGUGUAGUCAUACGUGCUUAGGGAAAAGAACUUGCAUGACAUNNNNNNNNNNNNNNNNNNNNNNNNNNNNNNNNNNNNNNNNNNNNNNNNNNNNNNNNNNNNNNNNNNNNNNNNNNNNNNNNNNNNNNNNNNNNNNNNNNNNAAACAUAUAAAAUAUGUGGGGUUGCAACACAAAAUAUAGCCACACAUAAAUGCGAGAUAAAUAACCUAUACACGGGAAAAUAAUCUACCAGCAAACCCUACACGCAAAAAUACCAAUGAACGCUCUAAAAUACAUGGAAAAUAGGUUCCUAAAACAUGAGCAUUUUAUCUAAGGUACUCGAGCAAUCCGGACCGCAAGAAAAAUAAAUACGGGACGAAACCUAUAGAAACAACACGUUAAUCUAGGCAUACGGCACGCUAAACGUCGUCAAACAUUUGUGCAAGUUUUAAAAACGGAUUCUACACGAGAAACUACACGAAAACCAUAUAUUACUCGCUUCGUUCCGACUUACGGAUAAUAAUCUACGGGCGUUUGAAUAUACGUCUAUUUUUCUCGAAUUUAUUAAUUCCUAAAAUUCCUACAUGGGCCGAACUAUUAUAAUGCUACACGGGGNNNNNNNNNNNNNNNNNNNNNNNNNNNNNNNNNNNNNNNNNNNNNNNNNNNNNNNNNNNNNNNNNNNNNNNNNNNNNNNNNNNNNNNNNNNNNNNNNNNNNNNNNNNNNNNNNNNNNNNNNNNNNNNNNNNNNNNNNNNNNNNNNNNNNNNNNNNNNNNNNNNNNNNNNNNNNNNNNNNNNNNNNNNNNNNNNNNNNNNNNNNNNNNNNNNNNNNNNNNNNNNNNNNNNNNNNNNNNNNNNNNNNNNNNNNNNNNNNNNNNNNNNNNNNNNNNGGGGGGGGGGAACGGAGUGCUACCUCGGUUGGGCCGAAGGAGCUGGGCCGAAGGAGGCCGAAGGGGCGAAUCAGCCUGGGCCUCGCGGUGAGGCAGGGGAGGCCUCGGGCAAUGGCUGCUGCUGGGCCUCGUGGGGCGCGCGGCCCACAACGAAGGUCAACGCGCAGGGAACCGGCGUCGUCCUCCUCGCUCCCGUACGAACAACGAAGGAGCGCCAUGGCGAGNNNNNNNNNNNNNNNNNNNNNNNNNNNNNNNNNNNNNNNNNNNNNNNNNNNNNNNNNNNNNNNNNNNNNNNNNNNNNNNNNNNNNNNNNNNNNNNNNNNNUUACUAACAAGCACAAGUAAGUUACACAAACUUACUUGAGCUAUAUCACACGACAAGUAGGUGAACAACACAAGAUACUAGAUCACACUAUAUCACACGAUAUAUCAAGGGCUGCAAGUAUGUACGUGUGAAUAUAGAGGGUAUGCUUGAAUGAUUAAUCUUGUACAAGAAAUGGCCAACACAAUAUAAUGAGCACAAGCAAUAUGCAAUGUAUGUAUGCUCAAAUAACACAAGUAAACCACAAGUAAGGAGUUAGGGUUAAGGAUAACCAAGGUCACUGAGACGAAGAUGUAUCCCGAUGUUCACUUCCUUGGAGGGAAGCUAGUCACCGUUAGAGAGGUGGAUGUUACCACGAAGGCACACCAACGCCACGAAGGCUCACCCUAUUCUCCCUUUGAGAUAACACCACGAAGGCGUUUCUCAACCACUAGUGGUAAGCCUUUGAGGUGGCUUCCAAACCCUCACAAACUUUUCUGGGGGAAAUCACACGGAUUGAUUCCUCUCCGAAGAACUCCUACCGCCUAGGAGUCUCCAACCUCCAAGAGUAACAAGAUCACGGGGAAUGCUCAAAACUUGCUCAAAUCACAAAUAGCUUGGGUUGAGAGAAGGAGAAGGAGAAGAUCUAUCUUUUGAUUGGAACAACUCUCAAAGGGGCUCACAAAUGCUCUUGGGAUCUAAGAUUUGGAGUGAGCAAAUGUGUGUGAGGUGGAAAUGUGUUCUUAUGAGGAUAAGGCUAUGUUAGACCAACACUCUCACGAAGUGGGAGGGGGGUAUUUAUAGAGCGGAGAGAAAAAGAGUCGUUGGGGACACUUUAAGUCACACAGGGUCCGGACGUCCGACAGUUGUCGGAAGUCCGGGCGAUCGCGAGGGGUCGGACGUCCGACAGGGGUCGGUCGUCCGGGGCCUGUAGAUACGACUGAAACUAUUUUGAAUUAAACAGCGACCGGACGUCCGACAGGGGUCGGUCGUCCGAGGCCUGUAGGUGUGCCUGAACAUAUUUGAAUUCAUCAGUAUACGGACGUCCGGAGUGGCCCGGAAGUCCGUGUUAUACAACACAAGUUCUACUAGUGGUGGCUUCUGGAUUUCCGAUGAGUGUCGGACAUCNNNNNNNNNNNNNNNNNNNNNNNNNNNNNNNNNNNNNNNNNNNNNNNNNNNNNNNNNNNNNNNNNNNNNNNNNNNNNNNNNNNNNNNNNNNNNNNNNNNNNNNNNNNNNNNNNNNNNNNNNNNNNNNNNNNNNNNNNNNNNNNNNNNNNNNNNNNNNNNNNNNNNNNNNNNNNNNNNNNNNNNNNNNNNNNNNNNNNNNNNNNNNNNNNNNNNNNNNNNNNNNNNNNNNNNNNNNNNNNNNNNNNNNNNNNNNNNNNNNNNNNNNNNNNNNNNNNNNNNNNNNNNNNNNNNNNNNNNNNNNNNNNNNNNNNNNNNNNNNNNNNNNNNNNNNNNNNNNNNNNNNNNNNNNNNNNNNNNNNNNNNNNNNNNNNNNNNNNNNCUACUGGUGCAGGCUUCCGGAUUUCCGGGACUUGGCCAGACAUCCGGUCCUCGGACGUCCGGAGGGAGCCGGAAGUCCGAGUUAAAUGGCUCUGAUUUCUAUGGUAUAGGAUUCCGGAUUUCCGAGGUAGUCGGUCGUCCGGCCCUUGGACGUCCGGAGGAAGCNNNNNNNNNNNNNNNNNNNNNNNNNNNNNNNNNNNNNNNNNNNNNNNNNNNNNNNNNNNNNNNNNNNNNNNNNNNNNNNNNNNNNNNNNNNNNNNNNNNNCUAUUCUCCCUUUGAGACAACACCACGAAGGCGUUUCUCAACCACUAGUGGUAAGCCUUUGAGGUGGCUUCCAAACCCUCACAAACUUUUCGAGGGGAAAUCACACGGAUUGAUUCCUCUCCGAAGAACUCCUACCGCCUAGGAGUCUCCAACCUCCAAGAGUAACAAGAUCAUGGGGAAUGCUCAAAACUUGCUCAAAUCACAAAUAGCUUGGGUUGAGAGAAGGAGAGGGAGAAGAUCUAUCUUUUGAUUGGAACAACUCUCAAAGGGGCUCACAAAUGCUCUUGGGAUCUAAGAUUUGGAGUGAGCAAAUGUGUGUGAGGUGGAAAUGUGUUCUUAUGAGGAUAAGGCUGUGUUAGGCCAACACUCUCACGAAGUGGGAGGGGGUAUUUAUAGAGUGGAGAGAAAAAGAGCCGUUGGGGACACUUUAAGUCACACAGGGUCCGGAUGUCCGACAGUUGUCGGAAGUCCGGGCGACCGCGAGGGGUCGGACGUCCGACAGGGGUCGGUCGUCCGGGGCCAGUAGAUACGGCUGAAACUAUUUUGAAUUAAACAGCGACCGGACGUCCGACAGGGGUCGGUCGUCUGAGGCCUGUAGGUGUGCGUGAACAUAUUUGAAUUCAUCAGUCUACGGACGUCCGGGGUGGCCCUGGAGUCCGUGUUAUACAGCACAAGUUCUACUGGUGGUGGCUUCCGGAUUUCUGAUGAGUGUCGGACAUCNNNNNNNNNNNNNNNNNNNNNNNNNNNNNNNNNNNNNNNNNNNNNNNNNNNNNNNNNNNNNNNNNNNNNNNNNNNNNNNNNNNNNNNNNNNNNNNNNNNNNNNNNNNNNNNNNNNNNNNNNNNNNNNNNNNNNNNNNNNNNNNNNNNNNNNNNNNNNNNNNNNNNNNNNNNNNNNNNNNNNNNNNNNNNNNNNNNNNNNNNNNNNNNNNNNNNNNNNNNNNNNNNNNNNNNNNNNNNNNNNNNNNNNNNNNNNNNNNNNNNNNNNNNNNNNNNNNNNNNNNNNNNNNNNNNNNNNNNNNNNNNNNNNNNNNNNNNNNNNNNNNNNNNNNNNNNNNNNNNNNNNNNNNNNNNNNNNNNNNNNNNNNNNNNNNNNNNNNNNNNNNNNNNNNNNNNNNNNNNNNNNNNNNNCUACUGGUGCAGGCUUCUGGAUUUCCGGGACUUGGCCGGACAUCCGGUCCUCGGACGUCCGGAGGGAGCCGAAAGUCCGAGUUAAAUGGCUCUGAUUUCUCUCGUAUAGGAUUCCGGAUUUCCGAGGUAGUCGGUCGUCCGGCCCUCGGACGUCCGGAGGAAGCNNNNNNNNNNNNNNNNNNNNNNNNNNNNNNNNNNNNNNNNNNNNNNNNNNNNNNNNNNNNNNNNNNNNNNNNNNNNNNNNNNNNNNNNNNNNNNNNNNNNCUAUUGUCCAUCCCUCCCGUGGCAGCGGGGUCCAAAAGGAUACUACGGGAUAUUAAGGUUCUCCUUUUAAUAAAGAACCAAAACAACACAUUAGCACUUGGUGAACACAUGAACUCCUCAAACUAUGGUCAUCACCGGGAGUGGUUCCGGUUAUUGUCACUCCGGGGUUGCCGGGUCAUAACACAAAGUAGGUAACUACAACUUGCAAGAUCGGAUCUAAAACACACAUAUAUUGGUGACAACAUAAUAAUUUCAGAUCUGAAAUCAUAGCACUCGGGCCCUAGUGACAAGCAUUAAGCAUGGCAAAGUAGUAGCAACAUCAAUCUGAGAACAUAGUAGAUACUAGGGAUCAAUCCCCGUCAAAACUAGCUCGAUUACAUGAUAGAUCUCAUCCUACUCAUCACCACCCAGCGAGCCUACAAAUAGAUUACUCACGAACGAUGAAGAGCUUCAUGGAAUUGGAGAGGGAAGAAGGUUGAUGAUGACGAUGGCGACGAUUUCCCCUCUCCGGAGCCCGAAACGAACUCCAGAUCUGCCCUCGAGAUGAAGAACAGGAUGUGGCGGCGCCUUUGUAUCGCAAACGCGAUGAAAUGUUCUCUCUUGAUUUUUUUCUGAACGAAAGUGAAUUUUUAGAGCUGGAGUUGGGGGCGGCAGACCCACGUGGGCCCCACAAGCUUGGUUGCCGCGGCCAGGGGGGCCGCGACAACAGGGCUUGUGGCCCACUGGCCCAUCCCCUCUGGUGGAUCUUUGUGCAGGUAUUUUUCAUAUUUUCUAGAAAUAUUCUCUGUAAAUUUUCAGGACGUUCCGAGAACUUUCAUUUCUGCACAAAACAACACCAUGGCAAUUCUGCUGAAAACAGGGUCAGUCUGGGUUAGUUCCAUUCAAAUCAUGCAAAUUAGAGUCCAAAACAAGGGCAAAAGAGUUUGGAAAAGUAGAUACGAUGGAGACGUAUCAACUCCCCCAAGCUUAAAACCUUGCUUGUCCUCAAGCAACUCAGUUGACAAACUGAAAGAGAAAGAAAAACUUUGACAAACUCUGUUUGAUCUUGUUGUUGCAACUAUGUCUAACUCAUAACCAGAAUUUCAGCAAGAUCACAAGUUAACCACAUAAGCAAGUGACACAAAGGUCUCACGGUAAACUAAUAUCAAUGGCAUAAUCAGCUAGCGAGCAAAUAAUAAUGAGUUUCAGAUACCAACCAUUCAAUCAAAACAAGCAUGAAGCAAUAUGAAUAGGUGGUAUCUCGCUAGCUGUUUCUGAGACCGCAAAACAUAAACGCACAGCACUUUCAAAGAUCAAGGGCUGACUAAACAUUGUAAUUCAUAGCAACGAAGAUCCAGUCAUAGUCAUACUCAAUAUCAAUCAAAAGCAAAGCAUAAAAAUGACAGAGGUGCUCUCUAAUUGGUGCUUAAAUAAGAAGAGGAUGACUCAACAGGAAAAUAAAUAGACAGGCCCUUCGCAGAGGGAAGCAUUGAUUUGCAGAGGUGCCAGAGCUCAAGCUUUGAAAACAGAGAUAAUAAUUUUGGGUGGCAUACUUUCAUUGUCAACGCAAUGACCAAGAGUUCUCAAUAUCUUCCAUGCUACUCAUGCUAUAGGCGGUUCCCAAACAGAAAAGUAAAGUUUUAACUCCCCCACCACCAAUCAAUCACACUCCAUGGCUAGCCGAAUCCUCGGGUAUCGUCCAUACUAACAUCAAUUCGGGGGGAGUCUUGUUUUACAGUUAUGUUUUCGAUUUAAGCGUGGAACUAGGCAUUCCAAUUACCGACCCCUUUCUCGUGAAUGACAGUGAAUAAACACAUGUCGAGGAUAACACGCCUAACAUGGAAGAUACCAAUAGCCCCCUGUCACCACAUGAGCGGUUCGGGCAUGCAAAACAUAUUAUUUCUUGAAGGUUUAGAGAAUGGCACAUGCAAAUUUACUUGGAACGGCAGGUAGAUACCGCAAAUAGGUAGGUAUGGUGGACUCUCAUGGAAAAACUUUUGGGUUUAUGGAAGUGGAUGCACAAGCAGUAUUCCGCUUAGUACAAGUGAAGGCUAGCAAAAGACUGGGAAGCGACCAACUAGAGAGCGACAACAGUCAUCAAGAUGCAAUGAGUUUGACUAACAUGGAGUGCAAGCAUGAAUAGGAUAUAAAUCACCAUGAACACGAACAUCAUAGAGGCUAUGUUGAUUUUGUUUCAACUACAUGCAUGAACAUGCGCCAAGUCAAGCCACUUGAAUCAUUCAAAGGAGAAUACCAUCCUAUCAUACUACAUCAUAGUCAUCUCAAAAUCUAUGUUGGCAUUCAAGACAAACCAUUAUAAGCUCCUAGCUAAAUAAGCAUGGCAUCAGAAACUAUGAUCUCUAAGUUGUCAUUGCAAACAUGGUUCUCUCACAACAAAGCUGAAUCUGGGACGACAAGCUAGUCAUAUUUACAAAAACAAAAUAGAUAGAGUUCAUACCAGCUUUUCCAGUCUCAGUCACUUCAUCAUAUAUCAUCAUUAUUGCCUUUCACUUGCACGAUCUAAUGAUGUGAACAAUAAUAAGAGUGCUCGUGCAUUGGACUAAGCUGAAAUCUGCACGCAAACACAAAGGAGAAGACAAAGUAAUAUGGCUCUUUGAAAGCUAAACAGGUAUGCAUGCGAGAGCCACUAAACAUUGUAACCAAUAUCUUCUACCUUGACCCAAAGAAAAAGAAAACUAUUUACAUGGGAAAGCUCCCAACAAGCAAAAAGAAGAAAGGAAAAUCUUUUUGGGUUUUCUCAAAAGGACAAAAAGAAGAAAAAAAAGAAAACAAAAAUAAACUAGCAUGGAUAAUACAGUGGCAAAGUGUGAACACCGACGAACAAAGUGAAAGCAUAAGCAUGAAUGUAAGGUCGGUGAGAACACGUACUCCCCCAAGCUUAGGCUUUUGGCCUAGCUUGGUCUACUCCCAAGGCGGGAAAUAACCAGCUCUGGGGUACUCCGGAGCGGACUGUGGAUGCCAGUGCUGUGUGAGCUCCUUUGGCUCCCACUGAUAAACUGGCGUCUGGUACUCGACUGGCGGCUCGGGCACGGGCACCUGUGGUUGGGCUAAGCCCCAAUAUGCGUAGAUGUCCGAGGGCAUAAUAGUGUACAUGCCUACAUGAAGAUCGAACAAAGAAGGAGCAGACAAAGUAAUAGUCUCUCGAGUACCCUGACUAAAUAUCAGGUUAUAAAUCAUCCGUCUACUAGCAUCUCUAUCUAGAAAAUCAUGGUGAACCAUGCUGUCAUAAUCCAGAUAUUUCUCAGGAAGAAGCAUCUCUUCUUCCUUACGAAGUCUAAUAGGUAUCUCAAAGUGUCUAGCAAGACGAGUAGCAUAGGUACCUCCAUAGACGACACCUUUGGAACGGUUUGUGUUCAAUUGCUGAGCUACUAUAGCACCUAGGCUAUAAGUCUUAGUGCUAUAAAGGCCUUCGCGCAAAAUAGCAAGGUCUAGAGAGCUAAGUGAUCCAGCCUCCUCACGGCCAAUCAAACAUUUUCCCACAAAUAAUGAGAAGUACCGAAGCACACAAAAAUGUAUGCUAGCAAUUCUAGCGCGAGACACUCCUCUCUCCUCUCCAACAACAAUAGUACCUAUGAAAUCCUCCAAGUCCCGUGGACAAGGAUCAUGAAUACCCCCAACAUAGGGUAAUUUGCAUGCAUUGCAAAAAUCAUGUAGUGUCAUGCACUGGGGGAUAUCGUACAAGAUGAACUCAACCAUGGGAGGAUUCUUCCUCGGAUAAAAGUUGAAGCUUUGAAUGAAAAUAUUGGUGAGGAGGAGGUAUUGUGAGCACUUAUCUUCAACGAACGCGGUAAGACCCGCGUUCUCCACCAAGUAAUAAAAGUCUUCAUAAAGCCUGGCGGUGCGCAAAAAUUCAUCACUUGGCCACUCGCACGCUCGAACUUCUGUGACUCGAGGAACCACAUACUUGGGGUGGUUCUUCUCAUCCUCCUUGGGGUUACGGCUUGAAGAGCCUCUCAAGAACCUCCUCAUCUUUUUUCCUUUUCUAGCUCUGAAAAAUUCUGAAUUUUUUAGAGACUUCGAAAGAAAGGUGAAUAAAGAUUAACCCAACUCGUAGCAACUACUCCUACUAGUGCCUAGAGACCGUAUCGCGCGCUAAAACUACUUGGGACCAGCUAAAAUCAACAUUUCAAGCUCAAAAACAGGGUCACCAAGGUAGUAAGAAUACGCGAAGGCUAAAGCACUAGAGCAAAAACUAAUUGGACCAAUGGAGGAGUCACUUACCAAGGAGUAAUUUCCCUAAAACGGUUUGGAGAAUGAUGCUUUGAACAAGGAGAUCGACAAUCACAGCCAAAUGAGCAAGAACACGGGUUUGAGCUGCGAAACGAUUUUUUCUGGAGGUAGAGGAAGAGGAUGGGAGCUGGAAUGAGUGGAGGGGGCCCGUGUAGGCCCCACAAGCUUGCUUGCCGCGGCCAGGGGGUGGCCGCGGUGACAGGGCAUGUGGCCCACUGGUGUGGCCCCCACGCCAGCUCUCAGUCCCAGUAUUUUUCAAAUAUUCCAGAAAAAAUCAUACUAGAUUUUCAGGACCAUCGGAGAACUUUUAUUUUCGGGGUAUUUUUCUCCGGGACGCUAAGACAGAAAACCGGAAAAACUAAACUAAAUCUAUCAUUUUUCUUCUAAGAAAAAGAAAGUGAAAGCUUAAAACAGAGGUAUGUGAGUCUUUGAUUCAUCCAUUUCAUGGUCAUCAAAAGAAAUCCGUCAAUGGGGUUGAUCAAAUCCUCAUGACAAAACUUUAUUGAAUCGCAAAAGAGAACGGAGAAUUUUCGAAUAGCCACUAAGUUACCUCAAUGGGGAUGUGAAUCUCCCCAACAAGCAAAUCAUACUUCAUCUUGACAUGAGGAAUAGGGCAUUCAAAGCUCCCAAUAAGAAUCGAUGAAGUUUUUUCGAUAGCAUUGAUGCAAUGUACUUGAUAUCUUUUCUUCGGAAAGUGCACUGUAUGCUCAUUACCGUUGACAUGGAAAGUGACAUUGCCUUUGUUAAAACCUAUAACAGCCCUUGCAGUGUUUAAAAAGGGUCUUCCGAGGAUGAUAGCCAUGGCAUCAUCCUCGGGAAUAUCCAAGAUAACAAAGUUUGUUAAGAUAGUGGUGUUAGCAACCACAACAGGCACAUCCUCGCAAAUGCCGACAGGGAAAGCAGUUGAUUUGUCGGCCAUUUGCAGAGAGAUUUCAGUGGGUGUCAACUUAUCCAGUUCAAGUCUACGAUAAAGAGAGAGAGGCAUAACACUAACUCCGGCUCCAAGGUCACAUCAGGCAGUUCUUAUGUAGUUUCCUUUAAUGGAGCAAGGUAUAGUAGGCACUCCGGGAUCACCAAGUUUCUUAGGAGUUCCACCUUUGAAAGUGUAAUUUGCAAGCAUGGUGGAGAUCUCAAGAUCUGGUAUCUUCCGUUUAUUAGUCACGAUAUCUUUCAUGUACUUGGCAUAUGGAGACAUUUUGAGCAUAUCAACUAACCGCAUCUGCAGAAAGACGGGUCUUAUCAUUUCAGUAAAGCGCUCAAAAUCCUCAUCAUCUUUUUUUCUUGGACGGCUUAGGAGGAAAGGGCAUAGGUCUCUGAACCCAUGGCUCCCUUUCUUUACCAUGCAUCCUAGCAGUGAAGUCAUUCUUAUCGUAUCUCUUAGGUUGUGGGUUAUCAGGAUUAACCGUAGGUUCAAUCUCCACAUCCUUAUCAUUGCUAGGUUGAGCAUCAUUAUGAACAUCGUUGUCCAUAUUUUCACUAGGUUCAUGUUCAUCACCAGAUUGUGUUUCUGCAUCAGACGCAGAAAUAUCAUUUGGUUCUUGAGGUGUGACAGUAUUUGGUGGACUAACAUGCAGGUUUCUAUCAUCCUUCUUCUUCUCCUUAGGAUGACCGGGUGCAUCAACAUUAAUUCCUUGAGAAUCUUGAUCAAUUCUCUUAGGAUGACCCUCAAGAUACAAAGGUUCCCGAGUCAUUUUGCCUCCUCUAGUAAUGAAUCUGACAGAGUUGUCAUUUAAUUCAUUGAGCAGGUCAUUCUGAGCUUUAAGUACUUGUUAUACCUGAGUAGUAAUCAUAGAGGCAUGUUUACUCAGAAGCUUCAGAUCAUUGACAUUUCUGUCUACACAAGCACUUAAAUGACUAAGCAUACGAGUACUUUGUUCCAAAUGUCUGCUAACAUAAUCAUUGAAACUCUGUUGUUUGGCAACAAAGUUGUCAAAUUCAUCAAAGCAUAGGCUAGCAGGUUUAUCAAAAGGAAUAUCACUCUCAUCAAACCUACGUAGAGAAUUUACUUCUACUACCUGUAUCGGGUUAUCGAGACCAUGGAUCUCUUCGAUAGGUGGUAGAUUUUUGACAUCUUCAGAUCUAAUGCCUUUCUCUUGCAUAGAUUUCUUGGCUUCUUGCAUAUCUUCGGCACUGAGGAAUAGAAUACCUCUUUUCUUAGGAGUUGUCUUAGGAGGUGGUUCGGGAAUAGUCCAAGCAUUAUCGUUGAUCAAGAUGUUAUUCAGUAGGAUCUCGGCUUGUUCUAUAAUUUGUUCCUUAAAAACACAACCGACACAACUAUCUAGGUGGUCUCUAGAAGCAUCGGUAAGUCCGUUAUAGAAGAUAUCAAGUAUCUCGUUCUUCUUAAGAGGGUGAUCAGGCAAAGCAUUCUGUAGCUGGAUGAGCCCCCCCAAGCUUGUGGGAGACUCUCUUCUUUGAGUUGAGCAAAGUUAUAUAUUUCCUGCAAGGCAGCUUGCUUCUUAUGGGCAGGGAAAUAUUUCUCACAGAAGUAAUAGACCAUAUCCUGGGGACUACUCACACAUCCAGGAGCAACAUAAGUGAACCAGGCUUUAGCGUCAUCAUUUAGAGAGAAAGGAAACAACUUAAGGAUAUAGUAGUAGCGGAUCUUCUCCUCACUAGUGAAAAGGGUGGCUAUAUCGUGUAGUUUGGUAAGAUGGGCUACGACCGUCUCAGACUCAUAACCGUGGAAAGGAUCAGAUUCGACUAGAGAGAUUAUCUCAGGAUCGACAGAGAAUUCAUAAUCCUUAUCGGUGAUAAAGAUAGGUGAAGUGGCAAACUUCGGGUCAUAUUUCAUCCUAGCUUUCAGAGAUUUUUCCUUCCACUUGAGAAUUAAUUUCUCAGCGUCAUAGGCAUCCUUACACGCAAGAAAAUCUUCAGCUAUCUCUCCCUCCAUAACAUAACCCUCAGGUAUAUCAGGCAAUUCAUAUCUAGGAGAGCUAGAUCUAGCAGGAGCAAAAGCAGGUUCUAUCUCAAUAGUAUCGGCAGUUUCAGAAGCAUCACGAGCAUUGGCAGUAACUCUAGCAAUAUGAGCAUCAAGGAAUACCCCUAGUGGCACAUCAGGCAAAGUAGUAUCUCUAGCAGUAUCAAGCAUAGCAUCAUCAGGCAAAAUAGCAUCUCUAGCAUCAUCAAGCAAAGCAGUAUCAGGCAUAGUAGCAUCAUAAGCAUCAUCAAGCACAUGCGACAUAUCAAGAUUUCUUGCAGGAGGUGAUGUCGCAAACUUACUCAUAACUGAAGGUGAAUCAAGUGCAGAGCUAGAUGGCAGUUCCUUACCUCCCCUCGUAGUUGAGGGCAAGACUUUGGUUCUAGGAUCUUUCAGAUUCUUCAUAGUGAUCAGCAGAUAUAAAUCCCAAGUGACUGAGAGAAUAUAACAAUCCUUCCCUGGCAACGAUGUCAGAAAAAGCUGCUGCUAGCAGUCCCCAGCAACGACACUAGAAGAAUGUUGUUGACGUGUUCCUGACUUGAUGCCUCCGCGGCAACAGAGCCAGAACUGCUCCCAGUUCCUCAACAAUUAGCAAUUGUCUUGCAAUGGCCCACCAGCGUGUGGGAUCACGACAUUUUUCGAGGGUAGAGUAUUCAACCCAUUUUUUUGGUUCGCCCGUCAGGAAGUGAAAGGAUACUCUCAAGUAUUAGCAGCUGAAUGUGUCGGAUUCAACCGCACCUGAAAGAUUAGUAUCUGCAAGCAAAGUAUUAGUAGCAAAGUAGUAUGAUAGCAACGGUGCCAGAAAUGAUCUGUUGACAAGGAAGACUAUUCCUAACGGUUGUAUCAAUGGCACCAGAAGUUGCCCGUAGACGGGAAAUAGUCUUUUCCCGGCAACGGCGAGCGAAAAAGUAUUGUAGCAGGUAGCAGCAGUGUAACGAGUAAUAGCGGUGGCAAGGAACAACAGUAGUGAUAGCAGUAGCAAGUAGGAACAGUAGCAAGUAACAGCAGCAGAGCAAGUAGCAGCAGAGCAAAACAAGUAACAACAGCAGCAACAAUAGUAACAGCAACAGAGCAAAACAAGUAACAACAGCAGUGGGACAAACUCGUAGGCAAUGGGUCGGUGAUUCGUUNCUAUUGUCCAUCCCUCCCAUGGCAGCGGGGUCCAAAAGGAUACUACGGGAUAUUAAGGUUCUCCUUUUAAUAAAGAACCGGAACAAUGCAUUAGCACUUGGUGAACACAUGAACUCCUCAAACUAUGGUCAUCACCGGGAGUGGUUCCGAUUAUUGUCACUCUGGGGUUGUCGGGUCAUAACACAUAGUAGGUAACUACAACUUGCAAGAUCGGAUCUAAAACACACAUAUAUUGGUGACAACAUAAUAAUUUCAGAUCUGAAAUCAUGGCACUCGGGCCCUAGUGACAAGCAUUAAGCAUGGCAAAGUAGUAGCAACAUCAAUCUCAGAACAUAGUGGAUACUAGGGAUCAAUCCCCGUCAAAACUAACUCGAUUACAUGAUAUAUCUCAUCCUACUGAUCACCGCCCAGCGAGCCUACGAAUAGAUUACACACGAACGAUGAAGAGCUUCAUGGAAUUGGAGAGGGAAGAAGGUUGAUGAUGACGAUGGCGACGAUUUCCCCUCUCCGGAGCCCGAAACGGACUCCAGAUCUGCCCUCCAGAUGAAGAACAGGAUGUGGCGGCGCCUCCGUAUCGCAAACGCGAUGAAAUCUUCUCUAUUGAUUUUUUUCUGGACGAAAGUGAAUUUAUAGAGCUGGAGUUGGGGGCGGCAGACCCACGUGGGCCCCACAAGCUUGGGUGCCAUGGCCAGGGGCGCAACAAUAGGGCUUGUGGCCCACUGGCCCAUCCCCUCCGGUGGAUCUUUGUGCAGGUAUUUUUCAUAUUUUCCAGAAAUAUUCUCCGUAAAUUUUCAGGACGUUCCGAGAACUUCCAUUUCUGCACAAAAACAACACCAUGGCAAUUCUGCUGAAAACAACGUUAGUCUGGGUUAGUUCCAUUCAAAUCAUGCAAAUUAGAGUCCAAAACAAGGACAAAAGAGUUUGGAAAAGUAGAUACGAUGGAGACGUAUCAGGGCCCCAGACGUAUAUAGCCGCAACUCGUUAUUAUGUGAGAGUGUCACGGAUUGAAGUAGGUUUUGGAAGGAUUGAAGGACGAUGCAGAGGUGUCAUGGGUUGAUGCAGGUCCCGUGGGGGCUGUAGAGCGAACGCGAGGGUGCUUUGGCCUCAUGAUGUUUCUUCCUUGGGGGCGUCUUCCCCUGAUCCCUUUUGUAGAUGGGGCCCUUCGAGGCCCUACCAGCUCCUUCUCCUGAGACUGGUUGAGGGCUUUUCUAUGGCUCUACGUCGAUAGGUCCCAGUCCUGCACAUUUCCCAACCGCUGUUGCAUACGACCGAAUGACGAACGCAGCUACGGGGUCGAGCCCUACCACCCCUGGGUCUUAUGACAGGCGGACGAGAUCAAGGGUGGCAGGUGGCCUUAUGACCGGCAAGGCUCCUGAGGCUCGGUGCUCAGGAGACCCCUUUGACGUUCGAGCGGCUCUACGUCGCCAAGACCCGUCUCGCACAUUUCCCAACCGCCGUUGCUUGCGAUCGAAUGGACGAACGCGGCUACGGGGUCAAGUCGUGCCACCCCUGAUAACGACCGAAUGUCCAUGGACGGCAUCAAGGGUGGCAGGUGGCCUUAUGACUGGUAAGGCUCUUGAGGCUCGAUGCUCAGGAGCCCCCUUUUGACGCUCAAGCGGCCCCCAUUUCAUCAUGUUGAUUGUGGCCUUGGGAAGCCGUGGGGCCUCCCCAGGUCCCGUGACAGGGCGACGCUCACCGGCCGGAGCCCCCGAGCGGGAGGGGGGGUAGAUCGCCCAAAGAUGCAAGCAAGGUAAGAUGUCAGAUCGCCGAAUGGAUGCAGCAGAAGUUAUGGAACCAUGCAUAAAUGAUAUGAUGGGCACAGGUUGCCCUGAGCGUUUGAAGUUCAUGAGGCCAGCAGACACCCCCUAGAGCAGUGAACCCAAAAAAUUACCUUGCAUAGGUUCUUUGUGCCUGAGGGGCACCUCGUGAGGCCCGACCCUUGGCGCCCGCACCAGCACCGUAGUCGCCGCGUGUGACCCGUGCCGCUUGUGUCUCGUUGCUUCAUGUGACUCGUCCUCCUGAGGCCGAGGACAUGGUUCUUCACAGUUUCUCCACAGGGGCGGUGGCUGGCGUCAUGCCCCGCAGCAUGGGGGCGUCUCCCUGCCCGUGCCUCUUGGUCCUAGUACUCCGCCAGUCGGAGCCCUAGGGUCCGGCUCAAGGGGGACCCUAGAGUGUUCCUUACUCCUGAGGAGGACUGGCGCCUGGGGUGGACGCUUGAGGAUCUUCCUCGAUGGAAGGGUCAGGUGGUGUUACAUAACACGAUAUGUGAGGCUCUACGUAGGCGUUCGACCGACCUCCAAGGCUGUUCAGCAGUGCGACGAUGGCGGUCCCUCUCCGCGGCGGGGGAAGGCCCCCCAGUCGCGCUACUCGGAGAUCUUCUUGCGAUGGGCCUCCGCACAAAGUCGCUUGCUCCUGAUGCCACUAUUGGGUGGUCCCGGCAUUGCCCGGUGCAGACUCCCCCCUUGGUACCUUGGCGUGUCUCCAUCGUCGUAGUUCACCCGUGCCGACGCCUCCGCCACCCGCUGGCUGCGCCUGAGCGAGCGCUCCCACUUGGCCGCCCCUGGUUGUCGGGGGCCGACCUGGUUUUGGUAAUGCGCACCGGUGUGUGCAUUGAAUGUCAUGUCGUUCUCUUCGCGCCCCUGGUGGUUGCCGGCAUGUUGCACCUCGAGGCCGGCCACCGGAAUCUGGAGGAGGGGGAGGGCAGCAUGCGACGCGUCUCUAUCAGCCCCGCCCAGUGCAAGAGGGGCCCCGUCGCUUGCAGGCCUGGGGACCGGCACGAGGUGCGGGUCCCUGGAGCCCGGCGCUUGCGACCUUGAAGAAGAGUGGGGUCGGAUGGCCUUCUGGGCGAUGGCGAUCAACUCCAUGAUGUGGUCCGCCCAAGCGUUGAAGCCCCCUUGCGUCGGUCGAUAGCGGAGCAUCUCGCUCGCCAUCUGCAACGCAUCAUGCGUGCUGAGGUCCUCCAAGUUGACGCAACGCGUUGUGGAUGUCGGGGGCGCCACCCAGCCGCCGCGUGUUGUGGAUGCCGGGGGCGCCGCUGUGCGUCGUGGAUGCCGGUGGAUAUGAUGUUGACGAACUGGUACGAGCCGCCUGGUACCACAACGCCGGUAGAUGUGCUUUCGGCCGCUUUGGUAUGACGGUUGGAAGCCAGCUCGACGAGGCUCGAAGAAGCUUGUUGGGCAUCGGUCAUCGGAGCAGCGGGGCUUAGGGAAGAUGAAGCCGCAGAAGAUCUUGACACGCUCCGUAGUUGGUGCUCCAAAUGUUGGAUUUCAGGGUGUGCAAAACCCUAAAGAUUUGAACUCACACGCGUGUACGAAGAUCUCUCACGGGGUCGCCUCACCUAACUCGCUACUCGCUGGGGAUGGCACAGAACUCACUCGAUGUUGAGAAAGACACAAAACACGGCAGUUUACCCAGGUUCGGGCUGCUGAGAAGCGUAAUACCGUACUCCUGCUUUGGUGGAUUGCCUCUCGUGGAGGUUGGUGGAUGAACUAGUAUAGUGUUCGAGGGCCUCCAGAGGCUGGGUGGCGUUUGUGUGGUGCCAGUGGGCAAAUGAAUGGAUCGGAUCCCCCUAUGAAGUAACCUACUCUCUUUAUAUAUAGCAGCGGCCCCGGUCUUGUUCCCUUAUCGUUUUGGCAGGAAGGGAUCCCACAACAACCAAUUUUCAAGGGGGACAGGGGAACAUGCUUCCCUUGUCCAAAAGUAGUCUUCACGUGCAAAGUGGUUGUCAACGCAGCAAAGACGGGUCUAGGGAUGACGUCCGUCCUGCUAGCAGGCGGUGGUGGCCUUGUUGCACCAGAAUGGAAACCUUUGGGAGAUGUCUUGGAGACCAACGUGCGUCCUCGCCCCCUUUGCAUUAAAGGAGGAACUGCACCGUCCUGCUGUCUCCUGCUCGCCUGUCCUUCCCCCAUGUCAUCGUUGACUCCUGAGGCGAGGCCUCGCCUCAGAAUAUCCGCUGCUCCGGAGGAGUCCUGAGGAGCCCCCCUGCGGGCCUUACUAUUGUUCCUCCUCGCUAGGCUUAGCCCCUCGCGAGGGCCUUGCCUUGAGUGGUGCUGGUCUUGUUGGUCUUUGGUUGAUGAAGUGGGCCAACCCUGGGCCACACGUAGGCAGGUCUAGGUACCCCCAUUCCGAGAACGCCGACAGUACCAAAGUUGGGCCUUGUCGGACCAGUUUUAAUCUAAGACGAAUUAUCAAGGGGGUCCCCAUAACAACCCCGAUCAUGUUAGGAGCGCUCAAUAAUGGAAUAUAACACCGGUAGCCGAAACUAGGGCGACAAAGAUGGAACAAAACACCAGGCUAGAAAGGCCGAGCCUUUCACCUUUUACCAAGUAUAUAGGUGCAUUAAAUUAAAUAGCACUAAUAUGGUGAUAUAACAAGGAACCCAUGUUUUCACAUGGAAGCAGCUGCAUCUGCAACUAGCAACGCUAACACAAGGUUAAGCAAGCGGUAACAUAUGCAAUCAUUGGUUUGCUAGGUUGUACAAAGGUUGAAGGUUUCAUGGCAAUGUUGAGAGGCUGACAUAUAACAGGUGGUAGGCAAUGAGACAUAAUGAAAGAAACGAGACAACUAGCAUGGCAUUGAUAGUAAUGGUAUCUAGGUAAAUGGUCAUCUUGCCUGAGAUUCCGCUUGGAAGAUGAUCGACUCCGUGAAGCACACGAAACGAUGUAGUCGAAAGAAUCCUCACACUCUGAAGCGGUUCAGAACACUUCCGAGUAGAAGCAAACCGGAAACAAGAAUCAGCACACAAUAUUCACCACGACACAUUCAUGAUAUGAAGCACAACCAAAUAUGAUGCAUGUCCAUUUCAAUUAUGCAAGGCAUGACAAUUCACAACAAUCAAACAC